AGCAUUUACACAAGGAUGUAAAAAAAAGUGAACAUGUACUAUCGCCUAUUUUUUUUACAGAUUAAUCCUUUCCCUAUUUCCCCAAAUCUUCUCUAAUUCUCUUUGCUGCUAAGUUCGGUACUCGAUUAGGAUGUAAUCUUGUUUUUUCCCCGGUGUUUACUCAUUUUUGGCCCUUCAUAACAUCCACGAGUAUGUAAUAGGGAUUAAUGAACCAACCUGUUAAAUAAAGAUUUCAUUUCUUUUUCUUCAAUAGCUUUUGAUUUCUUAAUGUAAACCAUGUACUCUCCCUUUACAGACAUGUUUCAGAAAUGAAAUUUUCUGCCACUUUCUUCUUUGGCCACUCUUUGGUUUACAUUUUGCUAUUGGAGAGACACUCGGCUCCGCAGUAGCAGCCAAAAAUAACAUGAGCAAAUGAUUCUCCUUCUCGUAGUCUCGUGGCGAAAUGCCGCGGACAACGGAGAGUGACCUUCCAUCCUCCAAGUGAAGGGUCAUCCUCCAAGUGAAGGAUUUUCAGGGUUCUUUCUGUUUGAAUUUGUAUUUAAGGGAAAAAAAACAAUCACGGCUGGUGGGCUGGAAAGGAUGUGUUACGUGUAUGGAUGGUAAUGGAUCAUUGUCCUCAUACCUCUUUCACGGUCCAACUUAGCUCUAUUUAUUUUUAGUUCAGAAUCAUAUAAUAUUACGGCUUGAUCCCGAUCCUAAAUUUGUUAGGUCACUCGCAACUGCAUGCAAUUAUUGUGUGCUGAUCUAUGGACUGUACGCAUGCAAUUAUUGUGUGCUGAUCUAUGGACUAUGGGUGCAUGCACAUGCACGUAUGGGGCUCCGGCGCUCUGUGCGCACCUUUACGUUCGUUAGUUUUGUCCGCUUGCUCGGUGGGGGGUUUUGGCCGCGCGCGACGACAGCUGUGUGGCCGCCGUCGCCGGCGGCGUUCCCGAGCGCGUCCGGCCGCGACGGGACGGGCGGCGCGUGUGUCCACGGGCGAGCGAGCAUGUGCAUGCGUCUGGCCUGCUGCGCGUAGCGUGUACAGACACGCACGUCGCCGCCGGGCCGGCCGGCGGGGAGACACGGACGCCGCUGACCUGGGGACGUCGCCGGUGGCGGCUAGCUCGUGGGCCGGGCCGGGCUGUCCGUCCACGCGUGUCGCCACCGUACCCCUGCCUGCUCCGUUGAACAGAACAGCAGUCUCGGAAUGCAACAGUUCCGUCCGGUUUCGCUGUGUGUUCCAUGUUCAAAAUUAAUCGUGGUGGGCGUCGCUAGCUGCUUCCAACGUAAAACGCGCGCGAAGCAUUUUGCUUAUGUUAUAGGGAAUAUAUAGCGUUCAGAUUUGACUACGUUUGGGUUUUGGAGCGUGAUGGUUUCCUCCGGUUUCCGUUUUGUGAGAUGACGAGUGUUUCAUGUGGCAUCGUGCGCCAACGUUUUCUUCCAUGCUUUGAGCAGGACAACGUUCAAGAUGCGCGACACUCGGUGUGGGGUGUUUUCUUGUGGAACCAGGCCAUCUGCAUGUGGAAUCCCGUGCCAACGCCUCUUUUCCCCUCCUAAAAUUUUGCAAUUUUCACUACUCAGUUUUGAAAUAUAUAUCAUUUAGUACAAAUAAAUUAAUACUCCCUCCGUUUUAAUUUAUAGUUCGUUUUGAUUUUUCUAGGUGCAUAAUUUUAGAUCUAGAUAUAUGUUUAUAUCUAGAUACAUAAUAAAUGCUAUGAACGUAGAAAAGUCAAAACAACCUAUAAUUUGUAAAUCUUGAUUCCACACGUAUCACCAGUACGUAGUAGCUAAUAAUAAAGGAUUCCGCAAAAUUGCAAUGGUAGGAAAAGAAUCUAUCCUAUUAUCUAAGGACGUAGUAAGUGGUAGAGCUAGCAAUUUUUCAGAGUUUGCACACGCAAGAACGCUAAGUCCGCACACAUAAGGCAUACUCCUAAUGAAGCACAUAGGGGCAUAGGGUACCCUGCCUGGCUCCAUCCCUGGCCGUCAAAUACAGAUCGAAUGGGCACGGGUAAUGCUAACCAUCCUAGCAGGCCUAGCUGCUCGACAUGCACAUCUACAGCUACAGGCUACAGAGGCUAAAUUGGUGAAGAUUAAAGGUGGGGGCAUCUGGUAAACUGAUUCUGUCAACUGUCAUCCUCAACGAGAGGCAACGAAGAAGAACACGUUGUCGCACCACGCACAGCAUUUUUUAUUUCUGAUUUUUUCGCUAAGAACAAAUAUCCUAUCCGGGCCAGAGAGGAUGCCAAUUGCCCAAGGGCACAGGCAGCCCACGCGGGAAAAUCCUCCGCCGCCCAUUGGCGGAGCAAGCCAACAGAUAAGAUUUGGGAUGGGCCGGGCGAAAUCUGGCAGCAUAUCGCUUCUCGUUUGUCUCCCUGUACGUCUGCACGUGGGCCCGGUGAACGUUCUCGUCAUGCUGUUCGUGGGCCCACAUGGCAAAAGGUCUCACGGCCAAGUAUACGUUUACGAUGUGCACUCGGCCAAGUUCUGAUUGCUAUGUCAUGAUGCUGCCAAACUAGAGUACUUUAUGUUGCAAAAGACAGUUUUUCAUGAAUUUGAUAAGAAAAUAGUCAAAUUCUAAAAGUUGCAUCAAUAAAUUCACAUUCAAAAGUACUUUUAAGAUAAUGUUGAUUAUGCAGCAAUUGACAGAGCACUGUAAGAGAAACUAAUAGUCAAAAAACCUAUUUGUAAAAGACUAUCUCUUAUAAUAAUAUGUCAUAUGUUAAUGGACGAUGAUGCAUUUAGCUCGUUUGGAAUUCUAUUGUUGAUACUUGGUAUCAAUAUAUAAAUACAUUUAACCGAUGCUUGCACCUAAAUGCUAGAAAUAAGUGAUUACCGAGGAGUCAUCAAUGUGACAAAAACUGAGGCUAACAUAAUAACAUUAGUGUUCUAUAUUUCCUACUCCCUUCGUCUCAAAUUAUAGAUUGUUUUGGAUUUUUUAUAUCAUAGCUUUUGCUAUGUAUUUAGACAUAGCGUAUAUCUAAGUAUAUAGCAAAGUCUAUGAAUUCAAAAAGUCAAAACGACAUAUAAUUUGGGACGGAUGGAGUAGUAUCAUUUGACAUUUCCACUACAACAUCAUCCUCAUGGAUCACAAGCUUUGAAUGAUGGGGAUGCUGCAAGGCUAUCUAGGAGGAAGACGGGAUGAAUGUGUGUGAGAGAAUUGGUCCCGUGAUAGGAUGGAGAGGAUGAUGAUUGGUGGGUAUGUGGUGGUGGUGGACUGUGAAUGCGCCAACUUGAAUUGAGACAUUUUUGGAUUUUUGCUUACUUCCUUUCGUUGAUUGAAGGAGCUAGAAAGAAAUGCAACAUGUCCCCCCACUAGCUACACGAUAUGUUAGGUCAAGUGAACAUCUUCUUUUGAUGUUGAAUGGCCUGAAUUGAAGUAGCUCAUAGGCUCUUAAUUAGGGUGUUUGUCCUAUAAUCUGACAUGGACUUGACAGGAUGUGAUCGUGUGUGUUCUUCAGAUAUGUUGCCCCAACCUCUAAUAAGAUAUAUUCAUCCUGUUCAUUCACAGGGACGUAAGUGUGCGCACGCAUGUAUGCGAAUUUUUGUGUAUGUGUUGUGUUUUGCAAGAAAAGGCUAACAAGCAUAAUUGAAAUUUGUCAAUUACAUGAUAUAGAUAUGUUAUAAGUCAUCAAAUAUCAACAUAAACCAAAGCAUAACAUAACUACAUGUAUUUUCUCAACAUGUUUCGACCAAAACAGAAAACACCAUCUCAAUGGACCACAACAAGCUUCUGACCAUAAAUUCGUUAUGCUUCAUUGGAUCCCUGCUAACUUCGUUUCUGUUGAAACUAGGUGAGAACAUGACCACAAUCUGCCAGAAUUCUCCCUGUGAUGCAUAUUGCCCAUUGGACAAUGGAGAGGAUGGCAAUUGACAAGUCUAUGCGUGGAUCGUGUGCCAGCUCAAAAUUUUUAGUUAUCACUGGAUCUGUAAUUUUUUUGUGAGAAAAAGAGAGACUUCAUUGAUUAAGUCAUGGAAGAGUUACAAUCCCUGAGCGCUAAUUGCGCUCGAUACAAUCAGGAAUACCCCCAACCACACCGUUGUUGAGUUAACUUGGCGAGCGUGUGGACUCAACUCAUGUGCUAUUGAAAUUUUCUCUCUACAUGUUGGAACUUAACCUGUUCUAUCGUUGACAUAUACUCCCUUGCACCUGUAAUCCAUGGAGCUGAACUUGAUCGAUCCCUUUCACCCGACAUCAAGCUUCUUAUACAUAUACCGUUAUUUGAUUUCAGGAUAAUUAGGCCUCGACACCAUUGUGCAACUAGCCUUAAACCUUCACAGCAAGCUGCAAAUUCAUCCUCUUCUACUUAUUGAAACAAGCGUUAUGCUGAAAUCACAAUAUCCCAAAUAUUCCAAGUAUGGUUCCUUACCACAGCACAUAUACUUGCCUGCCCAGUGGUCUCUAUGAAACUUAGGUAGUGUUUGGUUGGCUCAAAUGUAACGUAAUCUGAUUACUGAAGGUAACGAAUCCCAUUACAUAUGUUUGGUUACGGUGGUUUGUAAUCAAUUGACACUGUAAUCGAAUCCCUUACCUAAAUAAUAUCUAUACAAGCUUGUUACCCCUCCUCCCCCACUGUAAUCAGAUAUAGCACCCACACAGUAAUCUGAUUACGUUACCAGAGUGCAACCAAACAAAGAGGGCAAUCACCUAUUCCACCUCCAAAUACACUGUAAUCUGAUUCCCUUUGCGUUUACAUUACCUUAGCACGAACCAAACGCUAUCUUACAUCGACAUUUAAUUUCAGCCAUCUUACUCAAGUGGAUUCCACGUACGUAACAUGAUAUGGUUACGGUUUAUUACAUUUUUUUUUUCUAAACUUGCUACCCCUGGUAAAGUUAGCUUAAAACCUAGAACCAGUCCGGGAACCCGGAGCUCCGUCCCCAUCGUGGGCCCACUGCCAUGCCACGCCACGCCACGCCGUCCUGUGUGGCCCACGGACGCUUGGCCCGUCGCGGCUAGGGCCAGAUCGUGACCCGAUAGCCGCGACACAAGGUCCGAUCGGAUUGAGGAUACGCGAUCGCAUCGGCCAGCUCACCAAAGCCUGUGCUCUUACUGCUGUUGUAUCGUCCUUCUCUGGUAAUAGGACCGUGGACAACCACUGCAGAUCCCAUGUUGAGUCGCCAUCAGCUCCAGAAUCUCUCAGAGAAGCUUAAUCGUUUGCCCCACCACUGCCCGUGGGGCCCAGCGCACAGUGGCCCACUGUACAGUGAAUCAGAUGUCCUUUAGAGAAGUUUCUUCUUCUUCUUGAGAUGUAGUACAAUUAAUUAUUGGACAUUUCACUGUCCAGUAACAGUAGGAAGCACGUCGCAUGCGUGCAUAAGUAUGCAUCAACAUCGACCACACGUCAACUACUCAACUCAGAGAGAAUGAAUAUUCACCAUGCAAAACUGUGUGGGCAAUACAUGUUUAACCUUGUUUUUAUCUUGGAGAUAUUAUUUUUUAUACGUACGUAGGGGUUCUAGAAAAACAAGUAAAAAUGUAACUGCAUUCGGUUAAUCUUGGGGCGCCCUGUUUAAGUAAUUGCAGUCGUGUUUUUGGUAAUAGCGACAUGUUUGGUUCCCUUCAACAUGAUACGGCAGGGCGUACCUAAGAAUAGUGGUUCAAGGUUGUGUCAAUUAUAAUUGGGAAAAAGAUAUGACGACAACCUAACCAUAAUUGUAUCGUAGAUUAGAGAAUAAUCAAACAUUCGUCUAGGAUAUUUUAGUGUGCCUGGCUGUAUAUAUCCACCAUGUAGAUGUAGUAGCCUGGAUUUUAUCUUUUAUAUAAAAAAAUUUAGUGUGCCUAAUAACGUUGGCUUGGUCCGUAAAUAAAGCAUGGGUAGCAAAUACAAAAAAAAGAAAGAAAGAGGAGCAAUGACACACCGCAUAUACCACCUAACUGAACAUACUAGAAUCACGUGUGGCUACCUAAAAGUUUCGUCGAAAUAAAACUAGCUAUGCAAAGUUAUAUACGUAGAGAUAGAUGAUGUACUUAUUCGUGCUACACAUCGACAUGCCUCCAAUAUAUAUAAUGGUGCAAAAGAGAUUAAGUGGUUGUACGGAUCAAUAUUUGUAUGGGAGCGCAUGUGUUAUCAACUACUCCCUUCGUCCCAAAUUACUAUUCAUUUUGACUUUUUAAGGUACAUGAAUUGUGCUAUGUAUCCAGACAUAGCAUAUAUCUAGAUGCAUAGCAAAAGCUAUGAAUCUAGAAAAGCCAAAACGAAUAGUAAUUUGGGACGUAGGAAGUAGUUCUUAAACUCACAAUAUGUGCUUCAUAAUGGUCCGUACAUGUGUGCCUCAGGGGAACUAGAUCAAAUAAACUCCCAUGGCUGGUUUUUCACCUAAGAUAAUAAUUACACCAUCUUCAUCAAUUAUCAAAAAGGAAAAAGAAGAUACCAUCUUUUCCCAAGCUUAUAUUAUAUAAGUGGAGCCAUGAGCCGCUCUAGCUAGUACCGAAUAUCUACGACCAAUGCAUGCAUGAGUACAUGGUUUACUCCAACAAUAAACAACACUAUUCUUGAGAUGCCUAUGGUGCGACUUCGUCGUUCACAAGAUUUGUUGGCCCAAUCUUUUAGAGGUGCUUGUAGGAGUAGGGUGUGCAAUGUGUACAUAUUUAUUGAGAUGAGUGAGGCAUGCAUGUAUGCGAAUGUAUGUAUCCAGCAGUGAACGCAGGCCGACAGAGCCUAGAGGGGCUUGUCCACCUCACCCUUCCUCCUUUUCUUCCUCUCACUACUAGAUUUAGAAUAAUUACCGAGAGAGAUUUGAUCUAGUGGUCGGGACAUGCGUACUAUGUAUUAUCUAUCUGCUCUAAUAGCUGAGCGUGUUUUAGUGUCAAACAUGGAUUUAGAGAGUUUAGCUUAUUUCCCAAUAAUUUUUUCUCCAACCAAGAAUCACAACAUCAAAGGGUAGAAGCAACAUGUAACCAUCGACCACUUCACAACCACCCUUAGCAAAAGCUUUAACUCUUGUGCUUCCUCCUCUUGCUCUUCUCUUAUUACUUGAUCUCUCUUUUCUUCUUCCUUACCUUCAUCCAUGGCAAAUUUUUUCUUCUUCUUUUUGUUGUGUGUGCGUGUGUGUGUGUGUUGGGGGGGGGGGAGGGGUUAUCAUUUUCAUGAGAGAUGGAGAGAUGUGGACUUCCAUCAACCGAGUGUGUGUGUGCCUCCAAUAUGUAUGCCAUCAGCUGUGGUACACGCGACUUAUAUUGAAAGCAAAUAUCAACUCGAUCUGAAAGCGCUAUUCAUUGCCUAGCAUAUGAGGCUAUAUAUAACGGAGCUUUUUAAGCCUAUGGUGAUAUUCCGAGGGUGUCAGCAACUCAACAAAAGAGGAGUUCCAAUCCACACAUGGUGACAGAAAAAAAUUCAAGGAGGCCCAAAGUUGCUAGACUUUGGAAAUGAGUAGCCAAUGGAGAGUCCCAUAAGUAUGGAAUUUCAAACGUAUCCUACUGAUAACCUAUAUUAAGAUCUGAAAGUGCAUCUAGGCCCCUAAGUGGAUUUUGGUGAAUUGAAUGACAAAACGAUUAAAGGACUAACUUGUUUGCUUAAGAUUGUGAGCAGGGUUUUAUUCUCAUAUUUAUGAUGUGAUAUUGUCUCAUAAGUUGAAUAUGUAUUAUAUGGUUCACAAUAAAGAAAAGCAAGCGAGUAUGUGAUCCCGUGAUGCAACUAUAUGAUCAAUGACAAGCAAGGGUGAAGUAAAACUUGGGGAUAUAUUUAUGGUUGAUUUAUAAGUCUCCAAAUCAUGUGAUAGCUUGAUUAACAAGUAAAGGGAUCAUUAAGAAAAGAAUAGUGAUAUUCACAAAUGAAUAUUGCAAAACUUCAUGUGCAUAUAAUAAAAAGACAUGAGCUUAUGUGUUACAUGUUGGUUUUGUUAUUGGAAGUUUGCAAUUUAUGGAACAUUCUUUAUCAAUCAAGAACAAACAUUUGAAGAGGAUUUCAAAUGGAAUUUCAUUGUUGGUGUCAAAAGCAAAGCUAAACUCGAAGUGGUAAGAAUAGGUGAAGAAAUCAAGCGAGGUACUAGAGCGAGGGACUAAGCAAGCUUUGGUCGAGCGACAGCUUGGACUACGUGCGUUUUGCUAAGGUGAAGUGGCUAGUAUCUGGGGGGUUUCGAAGUAUCAUAUCUAAGUCUUACUGAGGGAAGCAAUGCAAUGCAUCUAAUCUAUUGUAAUUGAUAAAAUGGAGUGACUUAAGGAUUCAAGUAUAUCUUAUCAUGAAUGAGGAAAAAUCUUAAGUCACUAGCUCAAGAUGGGUGUGCUCAAGAUGAUAGCUAUGUUGAGAGCCCUCAAGUGACUAUUGAUCAAAGUAUAGCAUGGAUGAUGACUUACAAGCUCAAGUGGAUGAUAUAGUGUUUAUAUUUAUUUUUAAGUAUAGGAAUCCGUACUAUCAAGAGGGAUGCAAUAUUAGCUAAUUGACAACACCAAAAGUGCUCUUAGUUGACCUAUGUGAGAUUGGCCUUGAGAAAACCCUUGAGUGAGCUAAUUGUCCUAGCUCAGCUGACUUAGGUCGAUUCAGCCAGUAGGUGGACCAAGAAAGUGUCUCUAGAGGUUUUUGGGACUAACUUAGCCAAACUAGUUUGACCGGUCUGGGGGUUCAGGGCACCAACAGCUAGUUUUUCAAACCAGACCGGUCUGACCGGUUUGAGCAGCUCUAACGGCUAGUUUCUAGUGUGUGGGGGUAUUUAUACCCCCUAGUCCCCUCCUUGAGGGGCUGCUGGCUACACACGCAUUUAACAUCAUCUAGUGACCAGAAAAGCUCUCCCCAACCUCUUUUUGUGAGACUUAAGUGAUUCUUGUGAAAUCUUUUAGUUGGGUUGAGAGAGUGAUUCUGUGCGAGUAUUAGUGAGUUGAAAAGAGCAAUCCAUAGCUUGACCCAUAGCUUGAGCACUUGUGGUUCGCAUCAAGAAAGGCUUUGAAGCAUUUGUUACUCUUGGAGGUGUGCCUCCUAGAUGGCUAGGAGUCGCCGGCUAGCUCCCAAGGUGUGGUGAGUAGCGGCAAGUUUGUGAGGCUGCGAUCUUGCUUCUGCAAGGAAAAAGAUCAUCUAGUGGAGACGAGGAAAGUUGUUGAAAGAGACCCGACUUGUUGGAAGGGAGUUGAAAGAGGCUCGUAUUCCAAUAGGCUCCUCAACAGAGAUGUAUGAUUCAUUGCGGUGAAUCUGAACUUCGGGUAAAUAAAUCCUCGUGUCUUCCUUUCGUUUGUCUCACUUGUUGAUUUCUAGCAAAUUACUUGUGCUUCUGCUUCGAUCUACUUGGAUGUGCUUGUCUUGUGUGCAGGGACUACUUUACCCUGCCAGAUAUCAUCUACAAAAGCCACUCUCAAAGUUCAGUUGGUGCUAGAAGUCAAGGAGGGACACGAGCAGAGCUUGGUGUGUGCUCAGCCCUGUACACCGAUCCGAGCAACCGGUCUGACCGGUUUGGCCUGACCAGUGCGGCUGAGUGAGUUGAAGUUUUAUAAAUUGGUUAACUCGCCUAUUCACCCCCCUCUAGGCGACAUCUCGAUCCUUUUAAGAUUGUUUCACUUAUUUUCGUCAAAUCGAAGCUAGCAGACCUAUUCUUCUAUAGGUUUUCCAUGUAACAAUCAUAAAUAUAUGAAAAAGUGUAUUUUUCAUCCCUCAAGUAUUGCAAAAGUGUGGCAUUCAUCCCUCAUGUUUCAUUUGGUGCAAAUCAACACCUUAACUAACUAAACCAAUACAUUUAUCAUUGAUAUAAUACUUUUGCAAUAUUUGAGGGAUGAAAAAAAUACAUUUUUCCUAAAAUAUAUGGUUAAUAUUGUUGAUCUUAGAUCAUUAUUGCAUGUACAACAGGACCAGACUUAAUCCAAAUAGACAAAUUAACUUGUUAAAUGAUGCGAGUUGUCAUGCGUACCUACAAGGUGCUAUCAGAUUUUGUACAUAUGGAGCCUCUCUUAGACAUCAAUCUACACUACUAGUAAGAGUUUAGAUUUCUAACAUACGCAUGCAUACUGUUCAUCUCCAUGCACCAUAUAUGCAUAUAGUCCUCUAGAACACUCGAACAACAACUAUUUGCUCUUGCUUUAUAUAUAUAGACUUCGUCAAUAAUGCCACCAACUCUAGAGCAGAGUACUGAUGCACCUAGUGUGUCCUACAUGCCGGGGUCCUAGCGUAUGCGAUGCUGUUCGUCUCCAAGCUAGACGUGGCUUUGCCGGUGUGCAUAAUGGCUAGCUGCUGGGCCUGUAAACGAUGGGGCGGUCACAUGCGGUGCCGGGUGAGGCUUGUCCAUAUGCCUCCUAGUCCAAUGCAUGCCUGCCUUCACUCUUGGACUCUCUCGUCGAUGCGGUGUCCAUCGAAAUGUUAGCGAGAGAGAUGGAGUAACCACGAGGUGCUAGCUCCUGUAAGCCUGAUCUCCCAUACCCAAGCCAAAAGAGUUAGCUGAAGGGUUUCCAACCAGGAAGAGAAAAGGUUGAAGAGAUAGGCAGAUAGCGUUAGCCAUGGAGCUAGCGAGAUGGAGUUGUGUGUGUACAGUAUGGCUACUAGGGGUUAGAAACCAGUACUGGAGCUUUUCCCAGCAGUGUGGCUAACGGUUGAUCGACCAAUAAUUGCGCGGCAAGGGAACUGUGUGCUGCUGUUUUCCAACAGUACGAGCCUAGUUACUAGUAGAUAGGGUACUUGCUAGCAAUAUAAGCUCCAGCCUUUUCCCCCUAUCAAUGUAAAUAUCUCAGGCGCGGCUAGAGUUUUCACUUUCAUAUAUCACAGUUUUGUAGAAAAGUUGUAGACUUUUAAAUUGCAAUGCACCUGAUUCGAAAAAAAAGAAGUAUUGAAAUGAAACUAUGUAAUUUCAAUAUGUUUCAAAAAAUAUUGUACACCCAGUUUCAUCCUGACAAAAUCCCCUUCUCCAAUCCGUUCUCAUAAAUCUUUGACAUGUCAUCAUAUUGGAUGAUGUAUCAUAUCAUUUAAUUCGAAUGAAACCCUCACCAAUGUCAUCUAAUCAUAUUUGAGUCAAUGCAAAAAUUUAUUUUCGUGGUUCCAUAGGCUACCAUAUCAUUUAAACGUUGCAUGUAAGCGACCAACGAGAAUUGAUGAAAUAUAUGGAGAUGAAACGCAAAGCAUCUCAAUAGGAGUUUCACAUGGUUUUCAACGUGUUGGAAACGGUGAGCAUUUCAUUAAAAACUGCUCCCAGCUCUUUGCUCAUGAAUGCUUAGCCACAUCAUCAAAUUUGCUAAUGUGUUACUUAUAUUUAAUACGCAUGAAACUCUUAUGAAACUGAUACGGCAUGUGUGUAUGUAUUCAAAUCUUUGUCCAAACACCUGUUGAUGGCAUUUAGUAUAUGGAUGCGCCAUCAACAUUUUACAGAGGAAUGGUGUCAACAUAAUAGCACAAUGUAAAUCAAGAUUCGAUCUUGCUUGUUUUCACUCCAUGGAUCUUUGUGCGCAACGAAAGCAACCCAUCGUCCUGGCCGAAUAGUCCAUGCGAAGUAGACCAGAGAAACAGGAAGGCGAAAGCUAGCAGUAGCGCUGCACGGUAAUCCUAAUGACCACAAAAAAAAGAAAAGAAGGGAAGGCCGUGACCAUGACCGACAUCCCCCCAAUCCGAUCCCCCGGGAGAAGUUCGGAAGAAGUAGCCCAUCAAGAGUGAUGCCAAUGCCAUUGCCCUUUCAAACUCUAAGCAGCCAUUAUUCCUCCCAAUGCAAGAGAUGGUUUCAGAAGCGAUCGAGAGCACGCUGCACACACACAGCACAGUGCGCAGAUAUUUUCCCACGUGCAACACGGCCGGCCUCUCCGUCGUCAGGCCGGCUCGCUACAUAUGCCCACACGCCGCGGCACACCACAAGCUCAGAGCGAGCUCCUCAUCACUCGAUCCGAGACUACUAGCUCGGAGCUCACCGAGGACGAAGCAGCUAGGAGCUUAGGGCCGAGGUGUAGGGUACAGGGCAGCCAUGCUGCACCUGAACCUGAAGCAGCCUCUGGUGCUGCCGGGGCACCAGGGCAAUGUAGUCGGCGCGCGCCCGGCGCCGUCGUUGCCGUCCAGGAGGGUCGUCGGGGGGUCCUCGUCGUCGUCCCGGCGGCACGGCAUGCCGAGGAUCAGCUGCAGCGCGACGGAGGAGAUCGGCGGCGCCGUGACGGCCGCCACCGUGGAGAAGAUGCUGACGGUGAGGGCCACGGUGGAGGCAUCGACGGCCAUCGGGCGGAUGUACGCCACCCGCGGCCUCGACGACAUCGGCGACCUCCUCGGCAAGUCGCUGCUCCUCGAGCUCGUCAGCUCCGAGGUCGACCCAAGUGAGUAGCGUGUGACUAGUGACGCUGCUGCUUGACGAAAUCUUUGCUAAUAAACCUAGUAAAAAAAAAUGAAUGCUACUACAAAUGAUUCGAGAAAGCAAGAUGCUCUCGACAAAUCAAAGUACAAAGUGCACUACUAUAGUCUGCUGCAUGACCCCAAACAAAUCUUGAUUAUGAGAUGACGAAUAUCGGCAAAGAUCUGACUGUGCGCAUCUGGACUGUGUCGGCUGGGUGGAGCAGAGACGGGUCUGGAGAAGGAGCGUGUGACGGCGUUCGCGCACAAGACGCUGGUGGAGGGCCGCUACGAGGCGGAGUUCAAGGUGCCGGCGUCGUUCGGGCCGGUGGGCGCCGUGCUGGUGGAGAACGAGCACCACAAGGAGACCUUCAUCAAGGAGAUCAGGCUCGUCACCGGCGGCGACGACAGCUCCGCCGUCACCUUCGACUGCAACUCCUGGGUUCACUCCAAGUUCGACAACCCGGAGAAGCGCGUCUUCUUCACCGUCAAGGUCUCCUCGGAGCUAGGCUUCUCAGACCAUCUAUCUCCAUGAUCGAUCAUCCUUCCAUAACUUGCAAGAUAUACAUAUAUACAAAUACAACGUAUAUAUAAUACCAUGCAUGGCACUGUACAGAUCGACCGGUGGAUCUAACAGUCGUUGUUCCUGCAUGUGUCCGUGCAGUCGUACCUGCCGUCGGAGACGCCCGAGGGCCUGUCGGAGCUGAGGAAGAAGGAGCUGGAGACGCUGCGCGGCAACGGGCACGGCGAGCGCAAGUCCUUCGAGCGCGUCUACGACUACGACGUGUACAACGACCUCGGCGACCCGGACCGGAACCCGGCCCACCAGCGCCCCGUCCUCGGCGGCAGCGCCGAGUUCCCCUACCCUCGCCGGUGCCGCACCGGCCGCGCCCGGACGCAGCGGGACCCGCUGACGGAGCGGCGGGACGGGCACAACUACGUGCCCCGCGACGAGUGGUUCUCGGAGGUGAAGCAGCUCACGUUCGGCGCCACCACGCUCCGGUCGGGGCUCCACGCGCUGCUCCCCGCGAUCCAGCCGCUGCUCAUCAAGAAGGAGCUCCGGUUCCAACACUUCCCCGCCAUUGACGACCUCUACAGCGACGGCAUCCCCCUCCCGGCCCAGACCGGCUUCGACGCCAUCCGCACCGUCGUCCCCCGCAUGGUCAAGCUGGUCGAGGACACCACCGACCACGUCCUCCGCUUCGAGAUCCCCGAGAUGAUGGGCAGUAAGCAUGCAGCUGAUCUUUCUCAUCUGAUUCAUUAACAGAUAGUUCUUACCUGAGAAUUAAUCGAAAUCGAUGGCAGGGGACCGGUUCUCGUGGUUCAAGGACGAGGAGUUCGCGAGGCAGACGCUGGCGGGUCUCAACCCGCUGUCCAUCGAGCUGCUCACCGAGUUCCCCAUCAAGAGCAAGCUGGACCCGGCGGUGUACGGCCCGGCGGAGUCGGCCAUCACCAGGGAGAUCCUGGAGAAGCAGAUGAACAACAACCUGAGCGUGGAGGAGGCGCUGGCGGCGAAGCGCCUCUUCAUCCUCGACUACCACGACGUGUUCCUCCCCUACGUGCUCCGCGUCCGCGAGCAGCCCGACACGACACUCUACGGCUCCCGCACCGUCUUCUUCCUCACCGACGCCGGCACCCUCAUGCCGCUGGCCAUCGAGCUCACGCGGCCGCAGUCGCCGACCAAGCCCCAGUGGAAGCGGGUCUUCACCCACGGGCCCGACGCCACCGGCGCCUGGCUCUGGAAGCUCGCCAAGGCCCACGUCCUCACCCACGACACCGGCUACCACCAGCUCGUCAGCCACUGGCUGCGCACCCACUGCUGCGUCGAGCCCUACAUCAUCGCCGCCAACCGGCAGCUCAGCCGCCUCCACCCCGUCUACCGCCUCCUGCACCCGCACUUCCGCUACACCAUGGAGAUCAACGCGCUGGCCAGGGAGAGCCUCAUCAACGCCGACGGCAUCAUCGAGGCGGCGUUCUGGCCGGGGAAGUACUCCGUCGAGCUCAGCUCCGCCGCCUACGCCACGUGGCAGUUCGACACGGAGGCGCUGCCCAACGACCUCGUCCGGCGGGGGCUCGCCGUGCGAAAGGACGACGGCGAGCUGGAGCUCGUCAUCAAGGACUACCCCUACGCCAACGACGGGCUCAUGGUCUGGAACUCCAUCAAGCAGUGGGCGGCGGACUAUGUGAAGAUAUACUACAAGUCGGACGAGGCCGUCGCCGGCGACGCCGAGCUGCAGGCGUUCUGGGAGGAGGUGCGCACGGUGGGGCACGGCGACAAGAAGGACGAGCCGUGGUGGCCCGUGCUCGACGGCCGGGACGCCCUCGUCGAGACGCUCACCACCAUCAUGUGGGUCACGUCGGGGCACCACUCGGCGGUGAACUUCGGGCAGUACCACUACGGCGGCUACUUCCCCAACCGCCCCACCGUGAUCCGGAAGAACAUGCCGGUGGAGGAGGGCCGGGACGACGAGAUGAAGAGGUUCCUGGACCAGCCGGAGGGGACGCUGCUGGACAUGCUCCCAACGCAGAUGCAGGCCAUCACGGUGAUGACCACGCUGGACAUCCUCUCCUCGCACUCGCCCGACGAGGAGUACAUGGGCGACCACGCCGAGCCGGCGUGGCUGGCGGAGCCCAUGGUGAAGGCGGCGUUCGAGAAGUUCGGCGGGAGGAUGAAGGAGAUCGAGGGAUACGUCGACGAGUGCAACAACAACCCAGAGCUCAGGAACCGGUGCGGCGCAGGGGUCGUGCCCUACGAGCUGCUCAAGCCCUUCUCCAAGCCGGGGGUCACCGGGAGGGGCAUCCCCAACAGCAUCUCCAUCUGAUCCAGAUGAUCUUGCAUUGAGCUCCCCAUGCAUCCAGGGGAGAUGAUUGCAUUAUUAUUGCAUGUAGCAGGCGGCUUGUGAAAUAAAAUGUACCACUCUGUACACGACUGUAGUACCUAUUGAUUGUACAUGUGUCACUGCAAGAGAGACGUUUUUUAGUUAAUAUAAAGGGUAGUUAUGCUACUAGCUAGCUUUGUCAUUGACAGUGACCUGGUUUUUAGGUUCCCUCGCUGGCUCGCUUAAGACGAUGCACCUCAACCGCACGAUCUCAAUCGUGCGCUUCUCCUUAAUCUUCUUCCUUCCAUCGAGCGCUACUACUAUUUUUCUUCUUCGUUGAAACAUCUCUGUGCUCGAUCCUUGCCUCACACCCUCCUCCAUUUGUCUCUCUAGCUAGUGCCGUGUUUACCUCCAUGUCGUAGUCCACCACUGCCCUAGCUGCACCCUAACUAUAGUAACCACUCCAUUUUUGCUGCUCUUCCACUUCCACCAUUGUCAUCACCUCCCAUCAGUCGUCCUUCUUCGCCACUAGUGGCAUGUGGCUCCCUGCCUCACCGCUCCACCUGCCGUCCGCCUCCUUCCCCGUGCUAUUGACGUUGGCCUUCUUCAUGCAUAGCCUCAAAUUUUCCUAAGCUUCGCAAAUAAAGACGGCAUUAUUACCAAGAUGUCACUAUACUAAUAGAUUUUUUUUAUGGUCUUUGGGCAUUAUUACCAAGAGAUGCCCCCAAAUUCUAACUAUGGAGUGAUUAUAUUACCACAUCUUAGCAACUUUGAUACCAAAUUUCAUUCUCUCUAGGUAUAGUUGUAUGAUACCUCAGCCAUUGAGUUCAUUAUUCAAGUGUAAACAAGAAAAAAAUUGCGAAGAUAAAAAAUGAAAGUUAGGGUGUUUUCAAAUGCCUGCAUACAUCUCAAUUCCUUAUAACCUAACACCACCAGCCACUCAAAGGAAGGCGGGCCAAACCAAAUGCGCGAGCGCCAUCCAGGUUAGAUUGACAUUUGAGAGGGUGCACUAGGGGGGCUUCCCUCUUUGCUUUCGACCGUCGGAAGGGUGACUUCCAUGGUCCCAAGGCCGAGGGGCCAAGCCAACACCUAAUAAGCUUAACAAAAAGUUUUCUUGUAGUUUGGCAUAUUCAUCAUAGAGACCGACCAUAUUUUCCUUGAGUUUGCAUAAAAUAAUUGUCUUACAUGACUCCUACUAGCUAGAAACGAGCUUGACACAAUUAUUCAUGCAUACAAAAUAUCUGUAACACCUUAUGGAAUAUGGGACAUCGGUCAUUUGGUGAGAAAAAUCUAUAUGGAAUUGAGACACAAAUGGGUAUUUGAAACACCUAAUUUGCAUGUGGUGUUAUUUUCUCAGGUAAAAAAAAUUGAUCCGGCCUGCAGGGUUAGUCCCCCAUCCAGUUUAAUUUGAAUCCACACAUUCACCUUUUACAGAAUAUACGAACCACAGACUGGUCAAUUUCUCCGUGCAUAUCACGAGCAGCACAGCAGAGAGGACCUGUGGGUACCAUCCAAAAAUAUUCACACGAAACAUGUGAGCCACAGCCCAGUAGCAUGAUGGGCAGUUCUGGACCAAGCCAGAUCGGAUGCCGCUGGAGAGCAUGGAGGCCAAUGUCCACUAGCAAACGUCUUAUCUUCGCGGUUUUUUUUCAUAGGCAGCGAGCGUACACAGCUGAUGACUAUACAGGAAGUGAGGGCAGGUGUAAGCCUGGACCAGCCAAUGGGCCGGGGAUCCUGGACAAACUACAUAAGAGCCAAAAAUAUCACCUCCAUAUGGGGCUCAACUGAAACUCCGGUCCCAAAGUGAUGUGGGGUAAGAACCCUGAACCCGUAAGCCAUGGCUGUACGGGUAACCAGGCUUGCACCAAUUUCUGCAGGAGUUAACUACAGUUUGUUUCACUCAUUUCUAUGUAGACAAUGGUUAAAACUUGAAUCUAUCCGAUGUCAUCCGGUAAUCAGGGUGUUGCAACACAGCAGAUUUGGGCAUUGCCAACUGGCAUCAGUAAGAAAUGGGAAAGAGUUGGGAGGGUUGAGAUACUUGGAGUGCCAUUGAGUGGAUAAGGCAGAAUGAGACCUGGAAGGAUUGGGGAAGAACACAACAGGCCUUCAUCAUUGGGAGAUGCAGCUCUCGGUUCCACCCUGGCUGACUGAACAAAAUAAUCAAGUUGAGACUUUAAUAUCGUAACUUUAAUAGCAAGAGUUUAAGAAAGAAGUGUUAUCAAGUGAGAUACCAGUAGAGGAUGGCUCAAAGUAAGGUCGAGUUGUUACGAAAGAGGGGUCCUGAGCAUUGAACUCAAAGUGCUGUGCUGUGCUAGUCUUUUGAAGACCUGUUGAUUGGACAAGCUUUACUAAUUUGUUUGCUAUGAUUGUCAUCGGCGGGCGGAGAUCUGGUGACUGCUGAAAUGUAAAAGAAAUACCGUAAGUUAUUGCCACAGAAACUUGUGGUAAAAUCUAAUCGAUCAAUCUUGACAGCAUUAGAAUUGCUGCGAAAAUAUAUUUUCAGUGUUAAUGCCAUCAACAAUAUAUACAGAAAACUCUUAGUAUUUCCAAUAGCACCAGGUACGAUCUGCAACUUCAAAGUUGUGUCACUAAGCCCAAAUGUCCAAAGCAAUAUGUACCAGAAAAGAAAAUGGAGAACUACCUUGAUGCAAAGCAAGAUGAUGAUGCCUAAUGAAGAGAUAGCUUUAGCUGGCAUAGAGCCACUAAUUCUUGGGUCAGUUAUUCUUUCCAAAGAAUCAAGGUCAUUGAGAUGAGGAGCUGCCCAUUCUACUAGAAACUGCUCAUUUUGCCUCCUUGAACUGAAGAGGUAAAGAUCCUUUAGAAAUCCAGAUUGCAACUUUGGUACAACAGUGUUAGAACAAAGAAUACAUACCUGUCAAAAGCCUUUUGCCCAGUCAAAAGAACAAGUAAAAUCACACCAAAACUGUAAAUAUCAGCUUUGAUGGCAUCUGCUCCUGGCUCAGUAAGUUCAGGGGCAGCAUAGCCUUUAGCACUGGUGAUAGCUUCUGGAUCCUUCUGUGCAGGUGAGGAAUUGUUAAAAAAUAAUCAAAUGAGAAACCAUCGAUGACCAAUGGAUCGAGUUAAAGGAACUCAAUUUUAAGUUGCAGGCUUAAAGCAUGCAUUGAACAUAGAAGCAACAUUUGUUAUUAUGUAUCAUUUUUUUAGGGGACAUAAUACACUAACAGGCUUAAAAUGUUUGGAGGGAAAGAUCAAGCAAGAAAACUAACAAUCUUACACCAACAUUUGAUAAGUUGAGCAUAUCCAGUGAUAAACCUUAAUUUUUGAACAAGAGCAAUUUCUGUUUUGAAUUGAAAUUCCAAUCAGGAGAGGCCAUGAUCACUUAUGCAUGAGGAUAAAACUGGAAGAGGAAUGGCAUCCAUGGUGCAACUUGAUCCUAGAAUCAAUCGAAUAGAUAACUGUAUAACCAUGCUAAAGAUUACAUACAAAGUAGUAAUACUAUCCUUGGUAGCUGGGAAACUUGAGGACACUGACCAUUAUUCUUGCGGUGCUGACAAAAUGGCUUAACUUGGUUAAUCCGCUGUCACAGAGGUAGGGCAUGAGCUGAGCAUCAAGCAAAAUAUUUCUCGCUUUAAUAUUUCCAUGAGCAACUGGAGGGGAACACGUCAAGUGCAUGUAUCUGCAGACAAAGAUACAUAUAAAAAUUGGGAAAUAAUGCCUGUACAAAAUCUCAUCAGUGGUUGCACUUAAAAACCAAAAUGGGCUAUUAAAGUUGAUAUUGGUGUAAUUAAUAACCACGUCGUACAAAAUAAAGGAUGUAAAGGAAUUUGGUGAGAGUGUAAAUCUUACUCCAGAGCAUAGGCAACUCCAAGAGCAAUCUUCAUCCGAGCUUUCCAUGACAAAGCCCUGGAUCUUGUGGCUGCUGAAAACAAAAGAUCAUCAAGAGAGCCAUUUUCUGCAUACUCAGAUAGAAGCGCACAAUGUCCAAACUCCACACAAUAUCCCACAAGCGCACAGAUAUUAGGGUGCUUUAAUCUGGAGAUAUUCCAAAGCAUGUCCAUCAAUUCAUCUUGUUCUGAUAAUGAUAGGUCUACCAUGUCAAUCCUCUUGAUAGCCAGGAGCUGUGAAGACAUUGAGAAAUGUUUAAUUAUACAUGUAAAAGUAUAGAGAAAAUCAUGACCUGCAGCAAAUUUGGUAAAACCGUACUUCAACUAUUUAGAAAAAUCACAAACUUUAUAUGCUGCAGAAGAACAAGGUCCCAUUAAGAUACUUAUUUCAGAGAGUGACAUAUAAGACCACGCAUCCCAUCCUCCUUGCGCCUUAAAAUGCAAAUUAUCAAGAUUCAAGACAUCAAGAAAAAAAAAACGUGUGCUUCCUCCCCUCACAGCAACCACUAUUAUCAGAACCUUUCUGUGGUCAGAGGGGGACAGGGGGUUAUACCUCCCCCAAACCCCUUAACCAUGAUGUCCACCGUCCCAGACAGACAGUAAACAGUGGCUUGUUACUCAUGCAAACAGUAAAUAGGAAUUCCCAGAAAAAGAAAGCACAAAGAGCCUGCAGCAGUCAACACAGAAAAACAAACUUCAUGCCAACACAGAAGGGAAAUAAGACCAAUUUAUGGAUUUUUAUGAAUGAAAAUAGCAGUAGACUAUAGUUAGAAAGAACUGAUGGCACAUUUCAGCUAUUAGGGCUAUGAGAUGCAUGUUCUAGAAAUCAGACUUGAUUCAUGUCAUAAGAGCUUCGUCUAGAUUAAGUGACAAACAAUAAUGCUACUUUCCAACAAGGCUACUACAGAAGACAGCAAUAAAUGUAUGUUUAUCAAAGUACCAUACCUGGCCAUCAGAAAAAUCGCCUCUGUAAACUCGGCCAGUGAAACCUUCACCGAUAAGGCAUUCUUCAUUGAAGUCCCUGGUAGCUGCCAGAAUGUCAGCAGCUGGAAACUGUUUAGCAGUUAGAAGGUUUUUAGAUGUCUUGGACCAACUUUUUAUUUUGGGAACUCUGUCAGAUGUAAUGUCAUUAGUAGAUGAAGGAUCACUGCCAAUCAACAGAGAACUCCAAGAGUACAGGACCUCAUUUGCUUUAGGGACUGCAAAAUGGAAAAUAUGAGUUUCAGUGUUGCGAAAGAGUCUUGGUCUAAUCCAUAAAUAGAAAAUGCAGCAUGAAGAAAAUGAAAAGCAAACAUCUGUACAUGGAUGAAUUUAAUCAAUGUGCCUUGAAAAUAACAAAGAGUUCAUGUUUUAUGACGAGUCCUGGAUUUACAGUUUGGUCCUAGAUUUUUAAUGAGUAUAAAUAAUUAGAAGCCUGGCUAUCAACUACAAAUGCAUGAAUGUUAUGCUUAAAUAAUUUAAGCUCCAGUUCUACCUGCUUCCAUAUUGGCUGGGAAAGUCUUGGCACAGUUAGAGGUGCUCUUAGGGCACAAUGAACAGCUUUUCCAACUUUUCAGAACCAAUCCAACAAUGAGUAGUAGAAACACUGUACAUGUGGCACUAGCUACUGCAGCAACUGUCACUCGAGAGUGUGACUUCCUAUGCUGGCUGUUACUUUGCAGAGAAGAAUACACCAAAGAAGGCUUUGGAGAUUUUGGCUUGCGCUUUGGAUUCUGCUUAGCUGCUGGUGGAGGUGGUCGGGUUGGAGGUGGAGGUGGAGUUGGAGGCAAAGAUUGAGGUGGAGGUGAAUGGGUCCUCCUAGUAAAUGAGGACGAUGCAUAUCUGAAACCAGGUUGAAACUGGUUUCCAUCAAUCCUGGAAUGUUGACCAGAAAGUUAAUCAUUUAUUUAGAAGAGAUUUGAAGCCAUGACACAUAGAGAUAGUCAGAGAGGAAGGGGAGGCAAAGUAUAGCAGAAUUUAAUACCUCAGCUCAGGAAUGGACUCAAAUGUUCCGGGAACAUAACCACUGAAGUGAUUAUUUUCAAUGUUGCUGUGAAAGAAGUUUACGAUCAUCAGCAUUAGAAGUUAAGAUUGAUAAAACGCGGACCAAUAUUUUUAAGCAGCAAAUCCAGUUUCUUACAGGGAUGACAGUGGAAGGCCUGCUAACAAAAUCACAGAUCCUGUGAACUCGUUAUGAUGUAGAUAACUGCAAAUGCAAAUACAAGAAACAAUAUAUUCAAACAAGUUCUGCAUCAAUCUGCAUGAAAUAGCUCCAACCGGCAGGUCAUUCUUACAGAUAGUGGAGGUUAGUCAAUGAGCUAAACGAUCUUGGUAGGUCACCGCUGAAAGCGUUGAAUGACAAAUCCCUGAAAACCAGGGGGAAUAAACUUCACAUGAGUGGUAAAGAUCAAAUAAGUUGGGGACAUUGUUAUUUGCAAGGAUGCUGAGGAUGGGAAAAUGCCAUUUAGGGUGGAAAAGAACUGUUCUAGUAUCAAAAUGUGCACUUCUUUCAACAAACAAAAUGAGCUGGAUCCUCGUGAACAAAUAUGUGGAAGACUGUUUCAAGGAAGCACAGAACACAUCUUAACAAAAAGAAAAUGAAAAGGAAAGAGAGAUAAGGAAACAAAAUACGAAUAUUUAGGACAAUCAAUGAGCAGACAACAUAGUCUAUGUGAUCGGCACAAACCACAACAAACAAUUCGUUGUGAAUGAAAGAAAUCAUCAGACAGCCAAUGGUGAGAUGCAGAAAACAUGUAUGGGCACAACUGAACAAGUAACAAGGGCCAUACCAACAAAUAUCAGAGGAAUAAAAGCUAGCAAAUGAAUACGUAUACACUAAUGUACAGCUGAAGUUUCUACUGUAGAUGCAUACGUUAAAGGAAGAAUUUCCAUGUCUUGUUGCGCGUGAUAUAUAACGUCAAAGUGAAAUAAAAUAAUUCACUUCCAAGUGGACAAACGAUUAAGUAAUUAAGAUGUGGGAAUCUUACAUCGUUUCUAAGCUAUCCAUGUUAACAAAAACAUCACCAAUUACUCCAGAGAGUUUAUUGUAGCUGAAGUUCCUGCGAUAAUGGUUACAGAUCCAUCAGUAAAUUGUGCAACCAGAUCUCAGAAUGUGAAAUGCUCCAUUCCCAAAAGUACACUCACAGGUAUUUCAGGGAGUGCAACCAUGGCAAUGAUGCUGGUAUAUUCCCUUCAAACUUGUUGGCUGCCAAAUUUCUGCAAGACAGAAACAUGGGCGCGUCAUUCAUACUUUAAAUUUAAGUAUUUAAGUCACCUAAAAUUGGUAGCCAAAGAAGGGAAAAGGGACAUACAGGUGUUCCACAUUUGGGGGCAAAGUGGGCGGGAUUUCACCAGUAAUGUUAUUGAAGCUCAGAUCCCUAUCAUCAACAUGAAGUAAAGCACCAGAAACUAAAUCGAAUCAUCAAUUGCGAAAUCAAAAUUAGCUAUCAGAGUACAAAAACUUGGCAAUUAGAAGCUCACAGUUUUUUCAAUGACUGAAACUUGAGCAGCUCUGGGCCAAGCCAUCCACCAACUCCGAGCCCGCUAAUGCUUCUGCAUGUGAGUAACAGAGCAAAUAACAAAGCCAAUUGGUCAGCUUUCUAUUAAUUUGUUAGGAAAACUAAUCAACAAGUUAAUGAAUUAACUAAAGAAUUACAUUGUGACAACUGACGAUCCCUUGCAAAAGACGCCUCGCCACCGUCCACGCCCACCACCCUCACUGCAUGGGUCGCCACCCUGGAAUGUCCAACCAGAAAGCUGCCACGGCGACUCCAAUGUGCGAUAUAACCCCCAAAGUCCUAUCGCUGCGAUGCGGCAAAGACAAUGACAAAAUAAGCACAACUACGAGCCUGUUAGAACCUAAUGCAUACAAAAUCCCAACUUCAGAGCACCAAAACACAAACAGACAACAGGAUUGCAUAUUUGCAUCCCACCAAGGCAUUGAGAAAAGGGAAGCGAGCACACAGUCUUAUUCUGUACCCAGGGCUAAACGCAACGACCACUACCAAUCCCAAGUGUGAGCACGCACAAACGGCCAUCCCCUUAACCAUAGCCAACGAUCAAAGGGCUAAACGCCACAGAUGACCAUCCCGCGACCAUAGACAACGAUCACGGAGCUAAACGCUAUCCCAAGCAUGCAUAGACACACGCCCAGGCGCGCGCGGCAUGGAUCGGGUCAAGCUACAAGCCAGUGCCAGACGGCGCGCAAGAAACAACACCCACACGCCCGCUCGGAACCGGAUCGACACGCACGCUCCGAGACACCGCGCGCUCGCGUGCGCAAGCGCGAAGAGCAGAGCGCACCCAGGGGGCAGUGCUCGAUCGCCUACGGAACAGAGGUCCAGGACUCACCAUCGGGGGGGUCGGUGAAGGAAGCAGCGGAGGCGAACGCGGCGCAGAGCACCGCCACGGCGAGGAGGCGGCGCGGCGCCGCCAUUCCGACUCCUCACGCGCGGCCCCUAAACCCGCCGCGCCGGUUCCCGGCGAAAUCCCGGGCUGGAUCGAGCAAUCCCGAGCGCGCGCGAACCGGAGCAGGAGGCCCUAGAACGUUCCGGAAGCUUCCGGGGGAGCCGCGGGCUUGCGAGUUGCGGCGCCGUCUGAAAUCCCUCCCCCAAUUCCGCGCCGACCCGCGAGAUCGCGCUCGGAUCACGGGACCCGGUCGGGAAUUGGAGGAGCCCGACGACCUAUAGGGGGCCGAAUCGCCCGGCGUGGUCGGCUGGGCGAUGCAGAUGCUCCCGGGGCGGCAAGGGUUUGGGGUUUUGGUUUGGUGCGGAGGGAGGGAGGGAAGCUUUUCGUUUUGGGAGGGAAAGGGCGGAGGCGUGGAGCCGAGGGAGACUGGGAAAGCGUAUGGAGGAAGGGAGGCGGUCACGUGCGCGCCGCGCGAGAUGCCGUUGCUGCGGUGCGCUGCGGCGGGCGAUCCGGUGCCGUGGUGGGCCGGCCGGCCGGGGCACUACGGCUAGUUUGGGAGGCCCAGUCCCCAAGUGGAUCCAGAAUUUUCCCUAGAUUGGACCCCCGCGCCGCAAUUCGGUCCCGGGCUAAAAUUCCAUGGUGUUUGGGAGCGCGGCCGGCGGGGGAGGUUGAUCCUAUCCCUGCCUUUUCCACCGGGUGAGACCUCCCCACCUCGAAACACCGGACGUAUAUUCCCCUGUGCCGCUUGCAAGCGCCGUCACGGCGUCGCUCCUACGCCUCCCCCAUCCCUGCGCCUCAUCGUCGCUGCUCCUCCCCAUCCUUCCCAUCCCAACCGCAUCGCCUCCCUGUCGCCUCCUAACUCCGUCCAGGUGCCGCCACCCCUCGCCGUCCAAGUGUUGCCCCCUCCGCCUGCCGCCGCUGCUCCGUCUCCCUGUCCAGGUGCCACCUCUCUGCCUCCAUCUUGUUACUCCUAGGCGUCAAUCUGUGACGAUGUCCUGGGCACUGCUGUUGCAUCGUGUGAUUUUGUCAUGGAUCUCAGUUUUUCUGUGUGCUCUCUCUGUGUAGGUUGAGCUGAAGAAGAGACUAGCCAAGGUGUACGAGGUGAAGGACCCUAACACCAUCUUCGUCUUCAAGUUCCACACCUACUUCGGAGGAGGCAAGUCCACUGGCUUCAGCCUCAUCUACGACAACCUCGAGGCCGCCAAGAGUACCGCCUCAUCAGGGUACUGUGGCGGAUCCACUUCGGAUCUACUUGGUUAAACAUGAUUUAGCCGCCUGAUACGCGACGCUCAUGCCUAAGCCGAGUAAACACGAAGUGCCGUCAGAUUUCCUCCGAUUUAACCACUUAAACAGGACCAUUUUAGCAGACCCACACGAAGGUGAGCGGUUCCAGAGAGUACAACGAGUCCACCGAGUUAACAACUUAACCACUUAGUUUGAUUAUGAAAUAAACAUCAGAGUUUACAAGGUUUUCAGAAGGCAACGGAAAGUAAAACCACUAGCGGAAGCAACGUCGGGGUCGGACAUCCCUGGCGAGGCCAGCCGGAACAUCACUGAUCCCUCUCCUCGCCGUCCGAGGAGGGAUCCCACUCGACCGUCCAACCCGGAGGGAGUUGGGGCGGCCAAGUGCCAGCAGGAGAAGGGUCGGGAGCAGCAACAACACCUGAAAAAAAACAGGAGCCACAACAAGGCUGAGCUACUAAGCUCAACAAGACUUAACCGACAGGAGUAAGGCUACUCCACACUUCUAGACAUGCAAGGCUUUAUGGCUGAGGGGUUUGUUUGCCAAAAGCACUAAGUAAGACCCUAUUUUCAAGUUUUAGCUUCGGUUCUAAGUUCAUUAACCGGUCUAGGUUUUGCAACCUAUUCUAAGCAAUCAUAGAACCAAAACAAGGUAUGUAUAUAUAUCAACAAAACCAUGUCAUCAUUAGAUUCCUCAUUUACUCAGGGUGACAUAGCGAUCAAGCAGUCUCAAACUGUGAGAGGCAGACGAAUCGAUUCGAGUUCUUUAACCAUGCAUGGUGAACCUAACCUCACGACAUCCGCGCACCCAGAGGUCGCUUCCUGUGUCGGCCUUCCCCAUCAAUCCCCUAACCCGUGUCGGGCCCAUUUCCUUUGGUGCAAGGUUUCACCGACCCGGCCUCUGCCGUUCUGUGACCACGCUUGUCACCACGUGCGACAACCAGCAGGGGAAACUCCGUUCCAAGAACAAUGGGGCGACCGCUCACGUCUAGGUUCAAUCCGGUACUAGGCUUCCUCAUCCCAUACUAAGUAUGAGGUUAGUACUUUCAAACACUUGAUCACGAACACCACCACUGUCGGGCCUUAGCAAGUUUUCAUAGACAGACGGGGCGAUCAUCCGACCACCAAAGAGUUACCCAAACCCUGCCCCGUCCAUCGUCCUUACAGUUGUAACAGGAAGGUAGACAUCCAACUCCUACAACUCGCGAGUGACAGGGAAUCACUCGGCUUUUACCGUCUCCUAAUUAAGCAAGCAGCUACUCGGUCCAACAGCUAGUGUUCAGAUCAUGGGAAACUAAGUCAUGCAUCUAGGGUUCCAAACAACUCCUAUACGUAAAUGCACAGGCAUGUUACAGAAGGCAUGCGCAAGUCUGGUAAAACAACACAGGGUUUUCAUGCAACCGGGGCUUGCCUUCGAGCAAGGAGGAAAAGAACUGCUCGACUUCGGGGGCGACUUCGGCUUCUGGGGGCAGGAGCUCAGCUACACCGUCGUCUUCUGGCGCCGGGUGCAGCUCGUAGAAGCCGUCGGCGAGGCGCAGCUCUACACGAAUGCAAUGUAUUAGUUAGCAUAGACGGUUAUUUCAACAGCAACACUUGCAAGUCUGAGCCCAGAAACUUGCGACAAAGAGCAGGAGGGUGGGGAGGUUCAAGGGAGCUGGUGGAGAUCAAAAGGUAAGGGUGGGAAAGGAACUUAUGAUCUGAUCCUUAAACUAGAGGAUGUGGUAUACUAGGGAUCCUCAGACGCAAGCGCUGAAGGGUUCCUAAGUUUUGCACAUACACCCUCGGUUGAAGAAAAGAUCACAGCCGAGCCCUCGGGCGAGGCGGAUAGGGGUCGGCGGAACAGAUAGGGUCGGGCGAGAUGGAACAGGGGUCGGGCGGAUAAGAGGGGUCGGGCAAAGCGGACUGGGGUCGGCAGCUUACCUUCUUCCUACAAGGAAAGCUUGGGGUCGGGAAGAAACAGGCUUGGGCGGAGGGACUAAGGCUUUGAACGGCGGCGAGGUCCGGCAGUGCUCCGGCGGCGGCGGUGCUUCUUGUGGAUCACAAGUGAGCUCUUACGCAGCACGGAGGAGCAAGCGGCUGGGUGGCUCGGGGAAAACGGAGUGGAGCGGAGAGGAGAGUUCCUCAAGAACUUAGCGGUUGGCGCUAGGAGCUUGAGCAGGGAGCAAGAGAAAUAGCGGAAGGCAGCAAUGGCGGAGGGAACUCCGGCGGGGCUCGCGCAUUCCCUUUUAUAGCGGCUGGGAAGGGGGAAAGGAAGUGGCGCGGGAGAGAGAAGGGGAGCGGCGCGAAGGCCGGGGAAGAACAAUGGAGUGCUCUGCCUGGGCGGCGAUUGAGCGACGAGGGCGGUGGUGCAGGACUUCGGGGAUGACGCCAGCGGUCAUCGAGCUCUGGCGUCAGGGCGGCGCAGGAGCGGGUAUGCCGGUGGUUGCAAUUUGGCGGAGGCGGGCGUCGUCGUGCGGUGGAUUUGAUGGAAGUGACCGGGUUAACGGCGCUAGAAUCGAGGCCGCACAGGUGAGAAGACAGGCAGCCGCGGGCGAGCGCGGAGCAACAGAUUGUCGGGCGGCUUCUGACAGGGCGGGGAAAGGAGCUGUCGCGGCCGUGGCCAGGGUUGGCGGAGGAGGGAUCGUCGGGUAGCGAAGACCAGGCGGCAUGACUGUGUUCGAAGUGACGGAAAAGACGGGCGACGUCGGGCUCUGUGGCCGGGAUCUGGCGAUGUGAUGAUGGGCGCGGGAGGUGAGGCGUUGCAGAAAGGUCGCAGAGGGGCUUCCGCUGCCAUUGGGGAAGGGGGCGCGAGAAUCCAUUCGGUCGCGGGCCAGAGACGAGGCCGAGCGGCGGGCGUCGGAGAAGAUGAGCCACGCGGCGGAGAGACUCUGAGGCGGGCAUGCAACUCGAGUGCGCCUGUCGCGGAAGAUCUGGGGAAAAAAAAAGAUCUCGCGGGUCCACCGGUCAGAUAGAACGGACGUUUUGGGAGGACUUAGAAGGAUCCGACGGUGAGCUGGGUUUGGCGGGGUCGGAACCGGAGCAAAGCGGGGAGGGGUCGGGUCUCAGGGGUCGGGACCGGUCGGAAGGUUGAACACUUAGGCGCAGAAAACUCGACAGAUGAUCAGGGGCUAGGAUUUGGAUUAACUUGGAAGAUUUGGGGCCGGUCGUCCCAGCCUACCUCUCUUAAAAGGAAUCUCGUCCCGAGAUUCAGGUAUCAAGGGGGUGUGCUGUUCUUACCUCCAUGACGAGAUAGAAAACCUGGGAAGUGCUUGUUCAGAUACUCGUCUGUUUCCCAUGUUGCUUCAUCUUCGGUGUGGUUUCUCCAAAGGAUCUUGUACAUUUUGACCAUUUGGCGCCGGGUAUGCCUCUCUUUCUGGUCAAGAACUCGGUCUGGGUACUCGGCGUAGGUUAGGUCGGGCUCAACCUGAAGCUGCUCUUGCUCUAAGAUCUCGGUUGGAACUUGGACACAUUUCUUGAGUUGAGACACAUGGAAAACAUCGUGUAUGGCCGAUAGCUGUUCUGGGAGUUGGAUCCGGUAAGCAACGGGUCCACAGAUCUCCACAAUCUCAUAAGGGCCAAUGUAGCGGGGAACCAACUUGCCUUUCACUCCAAACCGUUGUACUCCUUUGGUCGGGGAGACUCGAAGAUACACCUGGUCACCAAGGUCAAACUGUAGGGGCCUUCUUCGGCUGUCGGAAGAACUCUUUUGUCGAGAUUGGGCAGCCUUGAGAUUUGCUUGGAUUACCCUUACUUGCUCUUCGGCUUCUGCCACUAAGUCAGGGCCAUAGAUCUGUCUUUCUCCUGCUUGGGACCAGUUCAAGGGUGUCCGACAUCUUCGGCCAUACAGGGCUUCAAACGGUGCCAUCUUCAAACUGGCCUGAUAGCUGUUGUUGUAGGAAAACUCUGCCAAGGGCAGGCACUUGUCCCAAUUCUUGUCAUAAUGGAUGACACAAGCUCUCAACAUGUCUUCAAGGAUUUGAUUGACUCUUUCGGUUUGACCAUCAGUUUGAGGAUGAUAUGUUGAGCUACGGAUGAGCUUGGUGCCCAUGGAUGCUUGUAGUUGUUCCCAAAAGCGUGCCACAAACUGAACUCCUCGAUCAGAGAUGAUGGUCUUGGGUACACCGUGUAGGGAAACUAUGCGGUCGAGGUACAACUCGGCAUACUGCUUGACUGUGUGGGUGGUGCGGACCGGAAGGAAGUGGGCGGUCUUGGUCAGGCGGUCCACUAUAACCCAGAUGGAAUCAUAUCGCUGUGAGGUAAGGGGCAGUCCAACUAUGAAGUCCAUGCUGAUGUCUUCCCAUUUCCAAGAGGGAAUAGGUAGGGGUUGCAGGGUACCUGCUAUCUUUAGAUGGCUGGCUUUGACACGCUAACAGGUGUCACAUUCUGAAACAUACCGGGCAAUUUCCGGCUUCAUUCCACUCCACCAAAAGGUUUGACGGAGAUCAUGGUACAUCUUAUUGCUGCCAGGAUGGAUUGAGAACUUGGAGAGAUGAGCUUCGUCUAGGAUCUGCUUCUUAAUGUCGGGGUCGGCUGGUACAACCAGUCGAUCUCCAUAAUAUACGCCUCCAGUUUCGUCCUGCCGGAAUUGCUUAUAUCCUUCAUCCUUUAUUAAGAUCUUCCUGAUGAUCCGCUUUAUUUGCUCAUCCUCUACUUGUGCUGACCGUAUUUGGUCUUCCAAAACUGAGUCAAGGGUGAUGUGGCCGAGGGUUCCAUGGGGAAUAAUUUCCAAGCUGAGUUUUCCCAUCUCAUGAUACAGAGUCUCGGUGAGAGUUGUUACCAACAAGCAGUUGUAACGGUUCUUGCGACUAAGAGCAUCGGCCACCACAUUGGCUUUGCCGGGAUGAUAGUGAACUUCUAAGUCAUAGUCUUUUAUCAACUCCAACCAUCUUCUUUGGCGCAUGUUGAGGUUGGCUUGAGUGAAGAUGUACUUGAGGCUCUUGUGGUCGGUAUAGAUGUUGCAGUGGGUGCCCAUCAGGUAGUGUCUCCAUAUCUUUAAGGCAUGUAUCACUGCUGCUAGCUCAAGGUCGUGGGUUGGGUAGUUCAGCUCAUGAGGUCGUAAUGCUCGUGAGGCAUAGGCAAUGACUCGGUUGUCUUGCAUAAGAACACAUCCAAGUCCAGUGCCAGAGGCAUCACAGUACACGUCAAACGACCUAGAGGGGUCGGGUUGAGCCAAAACUGGGGCUGUGGUCAGCAAGUGCUUCAGGGUCUUGAAGGCUUCUUCACACUUGUCGUUCCACGCGAACCUGACCUCUUUCUUUAACAACUCGGUCAUGGGCUUAGCUAUUUUAGAGAAAUCUUGUAUGAAGCGCUGAUAGUAGCCUGCCAAUCCAAGGAAACUCCUGAUCUGGUGCACUAAGGUGGGAGGCUUCCAUUCCAUAACUUCCCGUACCUUACUGGGGUCGACGGCUAUACCAUCCUUGGAGAUAGUGUGUCCCAAAAACUUGACACUAUCUAACCAAAACUCACACUUGGAGAACUUGGCAUAGAGUUGGUGAUCUCUCAGCCGUUGGAGAACUACAUGAAGAUGAUCGGCAUGUUCUUCUUCGCUCUUUGAGUAUACGAGGAUAUCAUCAAUGAACACUACCACAAACUUGUCCAGUUCGGGCAUGAACACCGAGUUCAUGAGGUACAUGAAAUAGGCGGGUGCAUUGGUGAGUCCAAAGGACAUGACCAGGUACUCGUAUAGUCCAUAUCUGGUAGAGAAGGCUGUCUUGGGUACGUCACAGGGUCGGAUCUUGAUUUGGUGAUAACCCGAACGAAGAUCAAUCUUGGAGAACACCUUUGCUCCAGCUAACUGAUCAAACAAGACAUCAAUGCGUGGCAGUGGGUACUUGUUCUUAACGGUCACAGCAUUGAGGGGUCGGUAGUCCACACACAUGCGUAGACUGCCAUCCUUCUUCUUCACAAACAGGGCAGGGCAACCCCAAGGUGAUGUGCUAGGUCGGAUGAAGCCUUUUUCCAACAGAUCAUGCAACUGGGUCUUCAACUCGGCUAACUCAGCAGGUGGCAUCCGAUAGGGUCUCUUGGAUAUCGGUGCGGUGUCAGGGAUCAACUCGAUGGAAAACUCCACCUCUCUAUCAGGUGGCAUGCCAGGCAAGUCUUCGGGGAACACGUCAGGAUACUCACAGACGACAGGGAGGCUUUCUAGACGGGCUCCCGAUAGAGGGUACACACAAGGAAGUGCAGACUUAGGAUGUUUCAAGGAUAGGGUAGAACUGCCAUGGAAGGGUGAGUUGAUGGAGAGAGUUCGGGCGGCUGUGUCUAGAACUACUUGAUGUGGGGCCAUCCAAUCCAUACCGAGGAUGACGUCUAUGCCUGCUAGGUCAAGGAGGAUAAGGUUUUCCUUGAAAAGGGUUGAGCCUAGCUGGAGAGAUACAAGGGUAACGAUCUGAUCCGAUGCUAUCUUUCCUCCCGGAGUGGUGAUCACAUAAGGUUCCUCAGUGUGACCGACAUCCAGCUCACAUCUUUCUCUAGCCUUACUCUCGAUAAAGCUAUGAGAGGCUCCCGAAUCAAACAACACAACAACAGCUUGAUUUAAAAUAAGGAAAGUACCCGUCAUUACUAGCGCACCUUCGGGGAGCUCGGUCAAGCUAGUGUAGUUGAGUCUGCCUUGUCGGACUUGUACCUUGGGCCUUCUUCCUCUGUUUGCCAUGGGGUUCUGACUUUGCUGCUGAUUCUUGUUCCUGGGGCAGUCCUUAGCAAAAUGCCCUUCAUUGCCGAAGGUGAAACAGCGGCUACUAGCUGCAGGGCGGGGUGGUGCUAGUGGAGUCGGCCGGGGCACCUGUGGUUGGAAGCCGGGAGAACGGGGCGCUGCUGCUGGUGGGGGUCGGGCAAUCCACCUUCCCGACUGCUGGGGUCGGCCGGGGGCUGUGGAGGAACCAUUCGGAACCUUUGGGUUGGCUGGCUCGGAAAUGCCACGGAGGCCUUCCUCUUCUGGUCGGCUUUGAGAGCCUGCAUGCAAUCCUCUUGAGAGAUGGCCAGAUUGACCAACUCGUUGUAGGUGUCCACCUUGAUGGGGUUCAACCUUUCCCUGAGCUCCAAGCUCAGUCCUCGGCGGAAUCUGUCUCGCUUCUUCUCGUCAGUGUCCGCAUGAUAGCCGGCAUAACGGCAUAGGUCGUUGAAGGCUUGGGCGUAGUGCAGCAAAUCUCGGGUUCCCUGGGUAAGGGCCAGGAACUCGUUGAGCUUGCGCUCCAGGAGGCCUUCCGGGAUGUGAUGCGCUUUAAACGCGGUCUUGAACUCGUUCCAGCUGACCUCAUGGCCAGCCGGCAGCAUGGCAUGGUAGUGGUCCCACCAAAGCCGUGCGGAGCCACGCAGCUGUUGGGCUGCGAACCGGGCCUUAUUAUGGUCGGGGCACGGGGUGGUGAGAAGCUCGAACUUGGAUUCGAUCGUACGAACCCAGGCGUCAGCGUCGAGCGGUUCUUGUGUCUUCUGAAACAAAGGGGGCUGCGUCCCCAAAAAGUCCUCAUAGCGAGCCACAUGCGGCUGCUGCUGAGCCCUUCCACCAUGGGGUUGCUGCUGUUGUCCUUGUACAAGAUGCCUUAGCAGCUCGGUUUGAGUUGCUAGGAUUGCCUCUAGUGGAGAUGAGGGUGGGGGCGAGGGAAGAUCCUGUCACUGUUCGCUGCUGCCGGGUACAAAACCAGAUCUGGUGCGAUGCGCCAUCUGCAAGAGUUAGCGUUCCAUUAAAUUCCAAAACUUAGAAGUACUCCAACAGGUGGAACGCAUGAGCUAAAUUAUCCAAUGCAACUCUUGCUGAUAAUGCAACACACGUCCUCACAGGGGAGAUACGCUCUUUUCAUCCUCAUGUUAGUUAGCGUUUAUCUUAGCCUUGUACCCAACUUCGGGCGAAUCACACCCUACCCAGACUCCUAUAAUCCAACUUGAGCCACGGGGUCGGGCUAGGUGAUCCUCCCGAGAAAAAGGGUUAGCAACGAUCCACACCAAAAAGGGGGUCGGGCGAGGCGGAGACUGCCUUGAGGGAUCGGCGCAUCCGAUCUCGCGAACCGGGGUUAGCCAACUUGAACAGACUCACAGAAAAACGACGCGUGUGUGAUCGCGGCUCAACUCACUUAGUCUAACAUUCCAACACUUUACAAGAGUUAGAGGUCAGACUCAGGAAUUGACUUCAUAUACAGCGGUGUUCCAACACAGGGAGUACUCGACUCAAGGCUAACCUAUUACAAUCCUUCCCAAAAUUUAGGCUGCCGAGGAGUACAACAAAAGAAUGAGUCCCUGGUAACUCUUAAUCUACCAAUGGACACUAUGAGUAGGAGAAGGGGCGCCGUCUUCUUCGAUAUCCAUGCUGGACGCUUCCUCAUCCUCCUCGGGGUCCUCUUGAGCUUCGAGAUGCAUAUGGAGGGCAUGCAUAUCGUCGAGCUCAGCUUGAUGCUCCUCCAAGUGAGCAUUGGCAACCGCCAGCUCCAUCUCUAUUUCCAUCUUCUCCUCCGACAGCUCGAUCAUGCCGUCCACUAGGUCGGCUACUUCACCUUCGAGCUCGGAGAUCUGGUCUUGCAUGUCGUGUAUCUGAAUGCCUCUUUGGAUAAGCUGGUAGGUUUGGCCUACCAGGUCUCUCCUGGCUGACUGGAGGUAUCCGUGAGCAUCCGCUGCGGUCCGGGCAAAGAUGGUCAUGGCUCUCCCUUGAAGCUCGAUCAGCCGAUAGAGGGCUGUCAUGCAUCUGACGUUGGUGGAGAUGGUGACCAUGGAGUACGUGGUGGCUAGCACCUCAAUAUUUCCAACACGAUCGAGCCACGCCGGAUCCAACCGGUUCCUGGUGGGGAACAGGCCGAUCGGGUCUAGCGUGACUUCCAGGGGAUGCAGCUGACAGAACUUGGUGAGAAGCUGGAGAGCGGCGGACUCCCAAGUGUCCUCCGGAGCAAGGUCGUAGGCUGAUAUUCCGAAGGAGGGCCAGUCGGGCCGCACAGGGGGAGGAGGUACCACCGCCUGUACAUGGCACGUCUGGAUGCCCUGCUCCAAAUACAGUCGUCCGGCGUACAAUGGUGGGGACUGGUACCCAAACCAUUUCAACAUGUCCCACAAAAUCGCGGGGAAACCCUCGAAAUGCAGACAGGUUGACUGGAAAGUACCAUCCGCUCCAAACAAAACAUGCCCGGGGACGGCCAUCUGGAACCAAGAACCAAAACCACGUGAGAUAGACUCAAAGAGUCAGGGGUCGGAUAGAGAAGCAUUCGGCUUUAACCGAGAACAACUGGAAGAAACUAGAAAUCCUUAGAACCGAAAAAGAGCUCUUCCGAGCAAGGUUGCUUUUGAGAAGAGUGACUUUACAGAUUUCUGCUUAUGACGCAUGCACGGCCUACCUUACUCUUAACCAAAACAACUGCCCGAAACCUGGGUCCUACGCAGUCAGUGCCGGUGGCAAGGCAACAAGUACGUCUCUCCCUAUAAUAGCUAGUCGAUUCUAGCAACGUCUCUUAAACGAACGCGGUUAGUGUACCUGCAGAAAACACCAACACACGAACCUUUCGUGCCAGCACCCACAAAAGCGUUCCCAAACAUUACCGCUCACUAUAGGAACGACACCCAUGCGUUUUAAGGCUGCAUGGACAUCACUCAACCGUGGAAAUAGGUUCCCUUUGAAUGGAACCGUAUAACCCUUCGCAUACUCGUGAUGCGGAAUCAGCACACGUAUGAUAGACGUGGCGAAUCAACCGUGCUGAUAGGUUCGUUGGAAUCGAACCGUACCAACCUUCGUAUGGAUUACAUACGGAACCUGCGCACAUGUGAUAGACGUGGGCGAAAACAACCACGAUGAUAGGGUCCUUUGAAUAGAACUCCCUAUCAACCUUCACACACUCGUGAUGCGGAACUCGGCACAUGUAUGACAAAUGUGGCGAAGUGCUGGAAGGGUUAGCAAGAUAACCAAAUAAACUAUUAGCCACCUAAAACAACCCCAAAAUCCCCUAGGGCCUCUCGCACUAAAGUCAUCCUUAACGGUCAUACGAGAUUUUUCAAAAAGUUUCUUGCAACUUUUAUCUUUUCAAGAAGUGUUAGGGCUUGCUGUGUUCUCUGUACUGCUAAACCGGCUCUGGUACCAGCUGUGGCGGAUCCACUUCGGAUCUACUUGGUUAAACAUGAUUUAGCCGCCUGAUACGCGACGCUCAUGCCUAAGCCGAGUAAACACGAAGUGCCGUCAGAUUUCCUCCGAUUUAACCACUUAAACAGGACCAUUUUAGCAGACCCACACGAAGGUGAGCGGUUCCAGAGAGUACAACGAGUCCACCGAGUUAACAACUUAACCACUUAGUUUGAUUAUGAAAUAAACAUCAGAGUUUACAAGGUUUUCAGAAGGCAACGGAAAGUAAAACCACUAGCGGAAGCAACGUCGGGGUCGGACAUCCCUGGCGAGGCCAGCCGGAACAUCACUGAUCCCUCUCCUCGCCAUCCGAGGAGGGAUCCCACUCGACCGUCCAACCCGGAGGGAGUUGGGGCGGCCAAGUGCCAGCAGGAGAAGGGUCGGGAGCAGCAACAACACCUGAAAAAAAACAGGAGCCACAACAAGGCUGAGCUACUAAGCUCAACAAGACUUAACCGACAGGAGUAAGGCUACUCCACACUUCUAGACAUGCAAGGCUUUAUGGCUGAGGGGUUUGUUUGCCAAAAGCACUAAGUAAGACCCUAUUUUCAAGUUUUAGCUUCGGUUCUAAGUUCAUUAACCGGUCUAGGUUUUGCAACCUAUUCUAAGCAAUCAUAGAACCAAAACAAGGUAUGUAUAUAUAUCAACAAAACCAUGUCAUCAUUAGAUUCCUCAUUUACUCAGGGUGACAUAGCGAUCAAGCAGUCUCAAACUGUGAGAGGCAGACGAAUCGAUUCGAGUUCUUUAACCAUGCAUGGUGAACCUAACCUCACGACAUCCGCGCACCCAGAGGUCGCUUCCUGUGUCGGCCUUCCCCAUCAAUCCCCUAACCCGUGUCGGGCCCAUUUCCUUUGGUGCAAGGUUUCACCGACCCGGCCUCUGCCGUUCUGUGACCACGCUUGUCACCACGUGCGACAACCAGCAGGGGAAACUCCGUUCCAAGAACAAUGGGGCGACCGCUCACGUCUAGGUUCAAUCCGGUACUAGGCUUCCUCAUCCCAUACUAAGUAUGAGGUUAGUACUUUCAAACACUUGAUCACGAACACCACCACUGUCGGGCCUUAGCAAGUUUUCAUAGACAGACGGGGCGAUCAUCCGACCACCAAAGAGUUACCCAAACCCUGCCCCGUCCAUCGUCCUUACAGUUGUAACAGGAAGGUAGACAUCCAACUCCUACAACUCGCGAGUGACAGGGAAUCACUCGGCUUUUACCGUCUCCUAAUUAAGCAAGCAGCUACUCGGUCCAACAGCUAGUGUUCAGAUCAUGGGAAACUAAGUCAUGCAUCUAGGGUUCCAAACAACUCCUAUACGUAAAUGCACAGGCAUGUUACAGAAGGCAUGCGCAAGUCUGGUAAAACAACACAGGGUUUUCAUGCAACCGGGGCUUGCCUUCGAGCAAGGAGGAAAAGAACUGCUCGACUUCGGGGGCGACUUCGGCUUCUGGGGGCAGGAGCUCAGCUACACCGUCGUCUUCUGGCGCCGGGUGCAGCUCGUAGAAGCCGUCGGCGAGGCGCAGCUCUACACGAAUGCAAUGUAUUAGUUAGCAUAGACGGUUAUUUCAACAGCAACACUUGCAAGUCUGAGCCCAGAAACUUGCGACAAAGAGCAGGAGGGUGGGGAGGUUCAAGGGAGCUGGUGGAGAUCAAAAGGUAAGGGUGGGAAAGGAACUUAUGAUCUGAUCCUUAAACUAGAGGAUGUGGUAUACUAGGGAUCCUCAGACGCAAGCGCUGAAGGGUUCCUAAGUUUUGCACAUACACCCUCGGUUGAAGAAAAGAUCACAGCCGAGCCCUCGGGCGAGGCGGAUAGGGGUCGGCGGAACAGAUAGGGUCGGGCGAGACGGAACAGGGGUCGGGCGGAUAAGAGGGGUCGGGCAAAGCGGACUGGGGUCAGCAGCUUACCUUCUUCCUAGAAGGAAAGCUUGGGGUCGGGAAGAAACAGGCUUGGGCGGAGGGGCUAAGGCUUUGAACGGCGGCGAGGUGCGGCAGUGCUCCGGCGGCGGCGGUGCUUCUUGUGGAUCACAAGUGAGCUCUUACGCAGCACGGAGUAGCAAGCGGCUGGGUGGCUCGGGGAAAACGGAGUGGAGCGGAGAGGAGAGUUUCUCAAGAACUUAGCGGUUGGCGCUAGGAGCUUGAGCAGGGAGCAAGAGAAAUGGCGGAAGGCAGCAAUGGCGGAGGGAACUCCGGCGGGGCUCGCGCAUUCCCUUUUAUAGCGGCUGGGAAGGGGGAAAGGAAGCGGCACGGGAGAGAGAAGGGGAGCGGCGCGAAGGCCGGGGAAGAACAAUGGAGUGCUCUGCCUGGGCGGCGAUUGAGCGACGAGGGCGGUGGUGCAGGACUUCGGGGAUGACGCCAGCGGUCAUCGAGCUCUGGCGUCAGGGCGGCGCAGGAGCGGGUAUGCCGGUGGUUGCGAUUUGGCGGAGGUGGGCGUCGUCGUGCGGUGGAUUUGAUGGAAGUGACCGGGUUAACGGCGCUAGAAUCGAGGGCGCACAGGUGAGAAGACAGGCAGCCGCGGGCGAGCGCGGAGCAACAGAUUGUCGGGCGGCUUCUGACAGGGCGGGGAAAGGAGCUGUCGCGGCCGUGGCCAGGGUUGGCGGAGGAGGGAUUGUCGGGUAGCGAAGACCAGGCGGCGUGACUGUGUUCGAAGUGACGGAAAAGACGGGCGACAUCAGGCUCUGCGGCCGGGAUCUGACGAUGUGAUGAUGGGCACGGGAGGCGAGGCGUUGCAGAAAGGUCGCAGAGGGGCUUCCGCUGCCAUUGGGGAAGGGGGUGCGAGAAUCCAUUCGGUCGCAGGCCAGAGACGAGGCCGAGCGGCGGGCGUCGGAGAAGAUGAGCCACGCGGAGGGGAGACUCUGAGGCGGGCAUGCAACUCGAGUGCGCCUGUCGCGGAAGAUCUGGGGAAAAAAAAAGAUCUCGUGGGUCCACCGGUCAGAUAGAACGGACGUUUUGGGAGGACUUAGAAGGAUCCGACGGUGAGCUGGGUUUGGCGGGGUCGGAACCGGAGCAAAGCGGGGAGGGGUCGGGUCUCAGGGGUCGGGACCGGUCGGAAGGUUGAACACUUAGGCGCAGAAAACUCGACAGAUGAUCAGGGGCUAGGAUUUGGAUUAACUUGGAAGAUUUGGGGCCGGUCAUCACAGGUAUGUUGCCAUCCGGCCUCUGCUUCUAUGGCACUGAGACAGUAACCUUAUCUUAAGUGAAAGUGUGAUUACUGAUUGUAUCUCUAGCUUAGAUGUGUCACCACUAAUUUAUGUUGUUAGUACAUAUUUUUAAGUAUAAAUUAUGCUGCAAUGUUUCGAUUUGUUUAUGUGGGAACAUCCUGAAGAGAAGUACACAUAUUAAAGUAGAGGCUAGUUGUGCAUAAGCACCUGAGCUACAAAGUAUCCAGAAGUAGAUGUGUCAUACUAUGCAAUUCGAAAAUAUCCUUAUAAUGGUGAUACUAGACUGGUUUACGUUGAGAGUUACUUGUUACAGUAGCAAUAAUAGUUGGUUCUUGUGACCAAAUCUUUUGGGACAGUGCUGGAACUAUCUUGUAGUCAUCUAUUAUGCUUGUGCUUUUUUACAUGGAUCCAUGAACAUAAUAUUCCUGCGUAAUAGUAAGGUUACCAUGGGGCUGAACAAGAUAUUGAUCUGUUAAAACUUGAAGCUGAUAAAAUCAGUUAUCUAGUUUUGAUCAAGCCCACCCAUGGUGGAGGGGGCAAGGUAUGCUAAAAUAUCUCCCACAAGAAAAUAUUUGCUGAAUCACUAUUGCUGGUUCACACUAGAUAACCACUAACUUUUUAUCAUUUUUUCCCUUUGCUAGAAACAUCAUUACAUUGAUUGAACUGCCUGAUUGGUCAUAGAAGAAUAUACCAUAUGGGUCAAUUUGUUUAUAUCAUAUAUUGUUCAGUGCUUGAACUUCUUCGAUCCACUUGAUUGAAAGUUCUCGGUGCUUUGAGUUUCCUUUAGUAAUAUCUAGCUCAUUAGGAACUAUUGUGCAUGCAUACGUUGGAAACUUCAACCUGAAUUGAUGAUCUUGCCAAUCAAACGAACCUUCUUUAAUUUAUUUGGAUCAUGUACUUCUAGCUAGCUAGAUGAUCUGAAGUUCUGAAUGGCAUGUGCCGAAACUGAAGUUGAAGUGAUUAUUUUGAUCCUUGUAAAAAUUUUCUCCAGAGGUUAAAAUGGGAGGAUGUUGUUUGUUGAAAAAAGUGGGAGGAUAUUUCCUUUCUUUUUGAUUUUGAACCAAAAUGCUAGCUUAUAUCAUAUAUUUUUGUUCAGACUGCAUAUAUCAUAAAUCCAUCCACUAUCAUCCUCAUUUCUCAAGCAAUAGUUUAAUUUAGACUUGUAAUCUAUUGUACAAUAUAUUUAGUUUAUUUCUAUGCCCGAUACUAUCAUUAUCUCAUAUAUCUUUUCAAGUGUUUUUAACUACACUGUUUUUGGAAGUUCAACAAUUUUUACAGUGUUUUUAAGUAACUAAUUUCUAUCUCUCUCCUGAUUUCUAGAUAGUAACUGUACGAUAAUACUUCUACUUCUUUUGUUAGUUCUUUCCUGUUGAUGACACAUGUCUACUAGAAAUGAUUGCCUAUUAAGGAUGCUCUGAAAAUGGUGUUAAAAAAUUUUGUGCCGUAGUUUCGUUAUUGGUUGCAGGACACUAUUGUUGUGACAAAAAAAUUUCAUGGUAAUAUUUAAUUUGCAUGUAGUGUGAUGCAAGAUUCAUGUAUUAUUUAUUUUGCAUGUAGUGUGAUGCAAGAUUCAUGUAUUAUUUAUUUUGCAUGUAGUGUCAUGCAAGUAUUCUUGCAAGUAUUCCAAUUUUCACCACCUGUGAGCUUUUUUUUUCUAGACCAUAUGCAUUUGAGUGACAUAGUUUACUUACCUUACCAUAUACAUACAUAUAGUUAAUGGAAUCUUGGGAGGGUGAAGUUAGGAGAUUCAUGCUAGAGGAGGAAGAAGAGGAUGACGAGCUAUUCCUAGUUAUGGUCCCCGCGUUUCAGUAGUGUUUAUAUGAGGAGAAAAGGUCGGAGCACACCUCAACUCUGUCUAGUGCUAAAAAGGUCAGACAAAUCUUGGAAGGCCACGAGAAUUGGUGCAAAGUGAAGUUCAGGAUGGAGCCUGAGAUAUUUAGAGUUAUAGCAAAUUAUCUUAGAGUGAACUUGUUAUGUGACACCCAUGGUGUUAGAGUUGAGGAGCACCUGGGAAUGUUUAUGUUCAUGCUCUCUCAUAAUGUAAGCACCGAUAGGUUAAAAAAGAAAUUCCAACACAGUGGUGAAACAAUUCAUAGGAAAAUAAUAGAGUUCUUCGAUAUAAUUCCAGCAUCGACUCAUAGAUUCUUGAAGCUCCCAAAUGUGAACCAUACACAUGUGAAGAUUGCUUCAGACCCUCGAUUUAUGCCUUUCUUCCAUAACUGCAUUGGGACUAUUGAUGGCACUCAUGUCCCUAUCACCAUUGUACAAGAAAGAGCCGCUCCCUACAAAAAUAGGAAAGCAACCUUGUCACAGAACGUGAUGUGUGCAUGUGACUUUGAUUUAAAUUUCGCUUUCAUCUCAUGUGGUUGGGAAGUAUCUGCAUCUGAUGCAGGGGUCCUACGGUCUGCACGUGCAAAGGAUUUUCAUGUGCCUGCAGGGAAGUUCUACCUUGUAGAUGGUGGAUAUACAAAUACAUCCUCAUUCAUUGCUCCAUACCGAGGAGUUAGAAAUCAGUAUGCAAAUUACAAAGAACUAUUCAAUCAUCGGCAUGCGCAGCUUUGCAAUCAUAUUGAAAGGGCCUUUGGUGCGCUAAAAAAGCAACUUCCAAUCCUGAAAGUUGGGACAUUUCAUCUAAUUGAGAAUCAAAUUAAAAUUCCAACGGCAGCUGCAAUAUUUCUCAAUCUCAUUGGAGGGCAAAAUAGGGACGAAGGGUGGCUGGAUCACCAACCAAAUAAUAUCAACCCAUCUGAUUAUGUUGAAUUGCCAGAGGGAGAUAACAACUACCCAAAUGAACUGCAAUCAAAUGAUGGAAGCACCCUACGAGACCAAAUUGUCCUUCAGAUGUGGGCUGCCUGUAAUAAUUAGGUGAAGCAUAAAUGUAAGCAAUAGUAUGCAUGUAUUGUUUAUUCCUGCACUAUUUUUUUUUUUGCUUCAUUGCUUAUUUCUAUAUUGUUUUUACGACAACCUUUAUCUAAUCUUGUUUAUUUCUUGCAGCGAUGUCAAUGGAAAGGGCUACAUGGAGCUACACGUAUGAGAAGGGACUUGCGGAUACUGAAAGAGCUUGUCAACGUCCCAAUGUUUAACGGACAGAAUGGGUGGACAACAGAAGGUUGGAGGAGUAUCACAAACAAACUCAAUGAUAUGUUUCCAACGGCACAUUUCACAAAGCAGCAAGUGCAAGAAAAGGAGAAAGAGCUAAAAGGAAACUAUAAGAUAAUAAAAGAAGCAACAAAAAGUGGUGUUGGCUGGAACGACACUUUAGGUAUGAUCAUUGCAGAAUCAAAAGGUUGGGAGAAGUUGAUUAAGGUUAGAUCUCUUAAACAGAGUAGAAUUUUGAGAGGCACAUUUUGGUUCUAAACUUCUAAUCAUAUAUUUUUUUUAACUUCAAUAGGAUAACCAUAAAGUUGCCAAAUUCCACAAGAAGUCAUUUCCUUUAUAUAACAGCUUGGAAUUAUUGUAUAAAGGUAAUGCUUUCAUCUUGCUCCUAUUUACAUUAAUGACCACAACUUUAGUUAAUUAUUCACUUCUUCACCCAUUCAAUUGUUUGUUUAAUAGGAAGUGUGGUCACAGGGGAUUUAAAUUUUACAUCAAUUGAGCCUCCACCACAAAGAACUGAGCUGUGAGCUGAACCCACUCCCCAAAGAAGUGAGCUGCGAGCUGAACCCACUCCCCAAAGAAGUAUCUCAGAGCAAAGCAAUCAUAGCACAACACCCAUGAUAUGAACCCGUUGGGUUGAAUCCCGAUCUUUUGAUGAGAGAAGGUGGGGAUAACUAGAUUGGGGAAUGGAGACGACAUUCAUGGCCCGACUACAGCCUUCCAAGGAUGCCGCACCGUAGCAACUGAUACACCACCUCCAAUAGCUGCCGCGAUCUUGUGGAUCACGUCGUCCGACCACUAGAGCACUCGUCCUGUAAGCAAUCGAAGAAUUAGCAAGAACAAUUAUAACAAGUACUAAAUUACUAGAUGCAGAUGAAGGUUUCAAACUCAAACUCAAUUACGGUGUGGUUCCGAAGACAAGAAGAUGGAUGGCUGAUUCAGCACGCUCGCUUAUAAGCAAGAAACAAAAACUAAACUUAAUCUAAACAAAAUCCGAGUGUUCCUGGUGAUGGCUAAGGGGUAUAAGAAUGUGGGAGGAUGACCACAAGGAUGUUGGGGUCGUGCUCCAACCCUAGGACGCGUCCCUAAUGGACCCAACGGCCCAUUGGGCCAAAAUAAGGCGACGCAGUACCUUGGAUAGAAAAAUCUCUUGUUAAUAAUUUGAUCAUUGUAGCCACCUCAGAAUAGAUAUGUACAUGAUUCCAGAUCCAUAUGAAAAUAGACUUCAUAAGGAUUCUAUGAAGUACUUGAACAUCCAAAACGGAGUCUAGAUGAAGUCGUGACGACCGUUGCAAGUUGGCACAAUGUUGCAGUCCGAAUCCAGCCCCAAAACGUGUUGGAUUGGAUCUCUUUCUUUACUUGGGCCAAAAGUGACGUGGUGGCCUGGUGGAGGACGUUGGGAAUACUUGGACUUGGUCCCCAGUCAACUUCUUUGGCCCUCCAUGCCUUCCAUGUGUGUUUAACACUAUUUUUGAUCCACGUAUGUAUUUCUGAAAAUGACAAUAAGAACACACAUCAUGAUGCAGUAUCAAUUCAUCAAAUGUAUCAAAUACAAUCAUGAUAAAGAAUUAUUUCACCUUUGAGUCAAAAGUUAUCAACGUGGUUGUAUCUGAGCAGGUGAUGUCCUCAUCAACCUAGCUUUGGAUAUAAUGGCAUGGCUUCUAUUGAUAGAAAUCCACUCAAUUUUGAUCUUGGUGGUGUAGAAAGCACAGAAGUUCAAUCUGCUCUAGCCAGUCGUAAUUCAAAGGACCAAGAUGUUACCGGUGGAAAGAAACAUAAACAAAGUCAGAUGGCAGCAAAACUUGGGGAUUACAUUGACUUUAGAAAGGAUCAGAUUGAAAAAAACUCUAGAAAAGUUAGAAGAGAAGAAGAGACAUGAAGAAUACUACUCAAUCGAGAAACAUAUUGACAUUGUGGAUGCCAUGGAAGGGCCAUCGGAUGAACAAAAAGUUAUUGCAAAUAAAGUUUUCCAAAGUGAAACAAACAUAAAAAUAUUGGUGGGCACCAAAAACCCAAGUGUUUGACUGAUUUGGUUGAAGAAAAAGAUUGCUCGAGUAUGUUCCCUUUUUCAGUUUUGUACCCUUGCUCAAGUGUCGGUUGAAUCCUCUAUUUGCAUAUAUAAAACAUAAAAUUUUGUCCCCUGUUGGUGUCACUAUAUUUUUUUGUGUUCCAGCUUUCUAACUCCAGUGCUGCUACAAAUGAAAACUAAGACGCCCCUUGUGCCUGCCUUCAGUGCUCAUAUAAGGUAUGUUUGAAGCAUUUUUGUUUCAAUGAUCAUUUCAGUAGGAUACAUGCCAUGUCUAGCUGUCUGUGCAAUACAUAUCUUGUCACAUCUCUUGUCUGCAACAUAUCUUGACAGAUAUCUGCAACAUAUCUUGACAGUAAUUUUAACCUUGUCAAUACUAGUAUUACACCAUCCACUAUACUAUAACUUCUAAGAUGGUGACAUGUAAUGGUCAGGCUUUCCAGUAAUAAUAGCAAAAGGAGUAUUCAUGUGAAUAUCUAUGCGCAUAUGUAUAUAUUUGAUCAUUUAAUUUUGAUAUUAUGUACAAAGGUUUUGCUCAUUACGUAGACCCAAGUCUUGUUCAAUUGGCAUUCAUACAUUACGAUCUAUAUAUAUCUUUGAAUUAUCUGAUCAAUAUGUUAUAUGCAAGAUUUUAACUAUAUACCUAAAUUUUCUACAGAACAAUUGAUGGAUCAAUAAUUUUCUGAUGCCUCAUUCAUCUGCUAUCAUCUAUAUGGUCUGAAGGCUGACGAUCAAUUUUGAUUAUAUGUGUUCCUAGUUUGCUAAGCAAAGAGCUAUUUUAUUAUGAUGUGCCAUGCUACCUUCAAAUUCUGUGACAUGAAUUUUUCAUAUUGGAAUUUGUCUUAUUUCGUUUAAAUCUAGCUAUACGAUAAUUGGUCAGACAGUGUACUCUAUGUCAAUUUGCAUGAUUGCAUCUCUUUAUUCAGACUGUGUUCUGACUAGACAGGAUCCGGCUAACAAGCUUGUCAAUGAUCACUCCUGUAGAGGAUUCGGUUAACAAGCUUGUCAAUGAUCACUCUUGCAGAGGAUUCGGCUAACAAGCUUGUCAUAUGGAGUUGACCAUGUGCCACAGAUUAGUUUGGUUUAACUCUAGCAUGAAUUGUAUUUAUCACAAAAUGUUGAUACAGAUAAUGUAAUUAUUUCUUAUGUUGUGGUUAAUGGUGUGCAUUGCUGGUUUAAAAAUUCAGAACACAUGAUGAAAUUUGGUAGCUACCAAAGGAUUACUUGUGUACAUGCAAAUUUUAUUAUGUGUGUACAACAACAGUCCAACGAAGCAUGUAUGACACCAUGUAUGACCUAUUGGGUCUGCCCCUCACCACUUCCUAUCUCCAAAUAGCAAUGGGUGGGGAGGGAGGCCUAGGGAGGCACCACCCAGGGAAUCCAUUGGCCAGGGAAAUCCUCCGGGGUUCCCUUCCACGGGCUAAUCUGCCACCAGCUCCCAAACUAAGCCUAAGGGUGCGUUUGGCAACUAAAUGGGAAGGGGCAUGUGAAUUAGUGGUGGGAGUUGGAGGAGAGAAUUCACUUGGGAAUAUGAUUUUUAGUCCCAUUCCCUUGUUUGUCUUUUGGAGGGAAUUAAGUGUGGGAAUUUAAGUGAGACUUCAUAUCCCUUACUUGGUAUAAGGGUUUAGAGGAAGGAAAUUAUAUCUUAAGUCAUGAUUAACCUAUAGAUACAUCCAUCUUGCAUUUAAAACAAACUCCCACCCAAUUCCCGCCCCUCCCCCUGGGAAGUGAUUGGUGGGAGUUGCUCCUCUAAACUCUCAUUCCUCAUCCCAUUAAAACUCCUAUGCCCACCAAACAAAUAAGAGAAUUUUAGUCUUUCAUAUCUAAACUCCCUUUCCCUCCAUCAAUUACCUCCAACCAAACGAGCCGUAAAGGCAGUGUGUUGCGCGAGAAAGAGUUUGGAGUUUGGACAGUUGUAGAGAGUGGAGAUGCUGUCAAGUGUCAACAAGGUUACAGCUCUCAACAAGAUUACAGCUCUAAUACCGUGUAUUGGACUAUUUGGUUAAUACUCAAUACUUUUUUAACACCAUGUUUUAUGAGCUAAUGAGCAGCUUCUGAAUAUAGAAAAAAAACAUAUUCAGUGUGUUUGGUUUCUGAAUCAUUUAAUUCAUUCGGCAUGAAGAAGGUAGAAGGAUCAUCUCAUCCAACUUAUUUUGAGGAACGAGUUUGCUCAAGAGAUUGCCUAGCCGUUGACAUAUGGGAACACAUGAGGGGAGGUGUGGUGUGCGAUGGAGCGAUGUAACAUCUCCAAGCUGAAGCCACACCCGAAUACUUGGGUGAAUGUUGGGACGUUGUUGAGAGGAAAGAGGAAGAGGCAGCUGAAGCUAUGGUAGGCAAGAUACGAUGGUGCGUGAGGAGCCAAAUAGGGGGUGGAGGGAGAGGGGUUGUCCCUCAAGGGGCAACAAGAUCCCAACGAUAGGAUCUGGAGUCUGGACCUUGAUGCACCGACUAGGGUGGAGGGAUCUCGACGUAUGGUAGGUGAGCUCGAUGCAAUGAGCAAUUGGGGGGAGGUGUCUCGGUGCGGCUUGCGAGCAGGGUACUUGAGGUGGUACGGUUAGGUUGCAUGGGAAAUAGUUUGAGGAAGUCGAGAGGGGGAUGCGACCACAGACAUUGGGAUGGGUAAGCUACGAGUCAAGUGUCAGCAACAUUACGGCGUUGGCCCGUCUAUUAUUCAAUACCAUUUUGAACACCCUGUGAGUAGCUUCUUGAUAUCCUCCUAAAAAAUAUAUUUCCACGUAAGCUGUGUGAAGUUCCUUAUCGGCCUAGGAGCGACUAGUGUAUGAUUGUGGUCCCUAUGAGGCUGCCCCCCUUCCACGAAACUUCCUCUACCAUUGGUUAUGUGGGCCCGAUACUACUCGUUAUUAUAUUGCUUUGCGUCCCAGAAUGAUUGAUCUCAAUCGCUACCCUCAUUCCUCGCAUUAUAUAUAUUCCCACAGAGGUAGAAGGCGUGGUCGGGCUGCAAUAGAGGGGGAAGUGCAGAGAAGCCAUGCGAGAUCUCCAAGCCGAAGCUAGGAUCUGAUGCUUCAGCGUUGGGGCACUGUUGGACUGAAAAAAUGGAGAGGACUUGAAGCUAGGGUCAAGAUGCGGAGGUUAGAGAGGGCGUAGCUAGAGCUAAAAAGAUAGAAGGCUUGCGAGGGGGCACUGCGACAUCCCCAAGCCAAAGGUAGGGAACUCGAUACGGAGACAUGGGAGCAGGGUUGUCCCGUAAGGGCAACAUUAUCUCAAUGAUGAGGUACGAACCUCCAUGUACCAUCCACGAUGGAGGGACCUUGAUGUACCCUAAACCCUAGGUAGAGAGCUCCACGUGGUGAGAGAUUAGGGCCGGGGGAGGGAGUCUCAUCGCGACAGGCCUAAAUCUUGGUGUAGGAGCGAUACUAAUGGCUAUUCGUGAUGUUUUUGUAUUUCUUUUCCUUUUGUUUUCCAGUUCUAAUAAGUUUAAAAUUUUCAUCAGUUUUUGAGAAACCUUUUUCCUUCAAAAAGAUCUAUAAAUUUAGGAGAAAGUUGUUGACCCUUUUUCUUUUUCGAGUGAAUCUCGUCCCCCAUUUUUCUUUUCGAAUUUUGUUGUUCUUCUUGUGACCGCAAGCGCCCAUCUUCUAUGCAUACCAUGAAGGCAUGAACAAAAACUCCAUGCAGGUGCGUGGGCCCAUGUUUAGCCACAACUACUUGGAUUCUCUUUACCAUCUCCCUUAUUCCACCCACUCUCCUGAUUAGCCUUGCCAAUCUCUGCUUCCUAGGCAAAUUUCAAAGAGCUACACUGCGUGGUUUUAAGAAAGGAAAAUAAUUGAUUCUCUCCUUAAGUUAUACAGAGGCUUAUUAGAAAACAACGGUUAACUACCUGUAUAGGGGCAUAUUGAGAAACUACGAUUAAUUACACCAUCCUAUAGUAGGAGCCUAUUGAAGAACUACGAUUAGUUACACCAUCAUAUAUAAGAACCUAUUAAAGAACUACAAUUAAUUACGCCAUCAUAUAUAGGAGGUAAUUGAAGAACUACGAUUAAUCAUGCCAGGUGGAGUAGCAGUUGUAUGGUGCAAUGAAUAUGCUGCUAAAAAAUAAUACUCCCUCCAUUUUGUGUGGGCGUGGUUUUCGGUGGGCGCGGUUUGGCCGUUUAGUCGAAUACUAUGUGAAUUAUAUGCCCGAAAAUCAAUACUAUUGGAUUAAAAGUAUUUUCUAAUGAUUUUGAUUUCGUAAUUAUUGGUAAAUACGAUAUGAAAGACCAAUCAUGGACGGUCACACUAAAACUGAACGGGGGGAAACCGUCCCGGUAUCAAUACAUGCGAAACACGCAGCAGCAAGAGCAGGCAAAUGCCAUUUCGCAAAACAAAAAUAAUAAACAAAGAAAUAAAAAGAAUACAGGCAAACGGCAUGCAUGGCAAGUCUAGGAGACUGCCCAUAAAUACCCCUCCAGAACAUGAGCGGAGGCACUCGCUUCAUUCCUGCGCUCUACUCUCACUCGCUAGCUCCUCCCGUCUGCUAGCUCUCUCGAUCUCUGCAUCGCCGACGCGAGAGAGAGAGAGACAAGAGGGUGACCGAGGAAGCGAGCGAGAUCGUCGUCGUCCUCCCCACCGCCGCCCACUUCAUCUCCUGGUAUUGCAGCUGCGCUGCCGUUCCUGCGUGCUCCGGCCGUGUUGCAGCGAGAAACUGUUGCAUUGGUUUGCUCCGCGUAUAGUUCGCUAGCUCUCAGAUGUAACGAUGGAAAUGAAGCUGUGGAUCGGAUCUGUUAGAGCAGAUCGAGCUCUUUCGUUUUCGUUUUGGAGUGAGAAUAGCUGCCUGGUGUGUAGUGUAACAUGUCGGGGAAUGCAAUCUGAACGGUGCACACCUAGUGAACGUUGGGAAGCUAUAUGGAGACAACUCUGCAUGUACAAUUCUUAGCAAUGCAUGGUCGAAAGGUCGCCUCGAUCGCUCACCGAUCUAAACAUGCACGUAACCAAGAAUCCUCAUACAUGAACUGCUUUACGAGGUUGAUGGCUUCAUACAAGGGAAUAAGAUUUGCUUAUUGCUAGCUAGAGAUCUGAGGUGGCAGCUUACUGGAUCCUCAGAUCUAUCGGAGGGAGUUCGCAAUCUAGAUCUCUUUGCACGGUGUUCUCUUUCUGUUCCGGAGAUAUACUUCCGUACAAAAUUCAUGGGUCCCUUUUUUUCCUCGACGCAACCCUACACGUGCGGGUUUUUUUCCAUUUAUCACAUCGUAAUACGACACCUUUUAGGAACGCUCGCGCCUCUUUUGUGGUAGUAGAUGAGUUACACGUGUGGUGCUUACUUGUCUCGCUAUCGAUGGUUUCAUGCGUUUCUUUUCCUUCGCAGAAAAUGCCCUUUUUGUCGAUUCUAGCUUUACCUCCAUUAUGUACGUGCGGUUUUUUCAGUUAGUUCAACGGUAACCCCACACAGUGAUGCGUACGUAAGCUUUGAUUAUCAGUGCUUUAGCACUAUUCUUAAAUGCUCACUAUAUUUCCACCUUUUGUUGUUACAGGUUCCUUUAGUGAUAAACGACCGUCCUACUACUAGAGCUGAUCGAAUCUUUUACAUUGCUGUUAAUUUAGGACGGGACAAUCACGGUUCUAAAGGUAUCAGCUUUAAGAUCCUUCCUUGGUUGUUUGAUGUAUGCUUUAUUAGCGGUGUUCUUUUUUUUUUGCGUGAGCGAUUGGUUCUUUUUAGCUUAUAUAUAUAGACUUGUUAGUGGUGUUCAAAAUUAGUACCAAAGUCUUGCUUUCUAACCUCAAUCACUCUUCAUGUUUAUGAAAAAGUCAUUUCAUCACUAAUUUUGCAUGUGUAAACGCACUAAACCUUAUCUUUUGUGGUAGUAGAGUUACACGUGGUGCUUUAAUCAACUUAUCUACCUAGUUAUCGAUGGUUUAGUGCCCUUUUUGUCGAUCCAAGUUAUGCCUAUUUUGGGCGUGUAUUUUUUCGGUUUGAUCGAUCGGUUACUGCAGAAUGAUAGCAGUAGAAUUGUGCCGUUAUUAUUACCUUACUUUUUUUAUUAUCAUGCUUUAGCACUACUUUUAAAUCCUUGGUAUUGCAGCUGUGCUGCUCUUCCUGCGUGCUUUGGUGUAGCAACAAAACUGCUGCUUUGUUCCGCAAAUGUAGUUUUCUCUCACAGAUGCUUGUACUGAGGCUGGGCAGAAAGGGCCGGGUGAUACAUGGAAAUAAUGGGAUUCUGGUAGAGCAGAUCGAGAGCUUUUUGGAACAGUAUUUGUUUUAUUUUUCUUUUUGUUUUUUGGUGUGAGAAUAGCAUGCAUGCCUUGCCUAGUGCAGUGUAACACGAAAGGGAACGCAAACUGAUCCAUCCACAGGUAGUGCACGCUGAAAAUCUAUGGAAACAACUUUACACGUUUCUUAGCAAUGGACUAAAUUAAAGAUCGCCUCGUCAGCGGUCUAAAGAUGCACGUAACCAAGAAUCCUUAUACAUGAACUACUUGUACGAGGUUGAUGUGAGGGAUUAAACUUUGUUGUUGCUAGACCUUCGCCCGAUCCUCAAAUCUCGAGGGAGUUCGCAGUCUAGAUUUGUCGCACGGUGUUCUCUUCCUCCUCUUGAGAUAUACUUUAGAGCAAUAUUCAUGGAUGCAUCUUCCCUUUUUCAUUCCAUACAACCGUCCACAUAGUGAUUUUUCCAAUUGUUCAUUGGGUUGUUACAAGCUACCUUCUAGGAAUGCUCGUUGCCUCUUUUGCAGUAGUAGAGUUGCACGUGGAGUUUUGAUUAACUUACCAGCAUGAAUUUUAAUGGUAUUUAGUGUGCUUCUUUCCUCGAGGAAAAUUACCUUUUUUGCUGAUUCAAGUUAUGUCUAUUUUGGACUUUCAGUUUUUUAGUUCUUUUGAUGGGACUGUGAUGUUUAUUACCUCGUUUGCAGUAGUAGAAACGUGGAGCUCUGAUUACCUUGCUUGUUUUUAUUGCCAAUGCUUUAGCACUACUCUUAAAUGCUCACUAAGAUAUUUUCCCCCAUUAUUUUGCAGGUUCUUUCUUGCAAUAGACCAUCCUUCUAGUGAAGUUUUGAUUGCUGAAGCUGAAUCUUUUGCAUUGCUGUUACGCUCAGGGAAGAAAAUUACGGUUGGCUCUUGAUCCUUCCUUGGUUGUUUAAUUUGACACUGCGUUUUAUUGGUGCUGUAAUUUUUUUCCCGUCAACACUUGUUUCUUUUUAGCUUGCAGCGUGUCUUUUGUUAUUGAUGUUCCAAAUAUCAGUAUUAAAUGAAAACAUCUUUCCAACCUUAAUUACUCUUCACUAGUCCAUCAACCCGUGCUCCCGCACGGACUAAUAUUUUUUAGAAGCUAUUGCAUUUAAAAAUUAUUUAGAAAUUAAACUUCUAGCUAAUAAUCAAAAUUGUCUACCUACUGCUCUCUUAUUUUUCAAUACUUCAACAUAAUACUUACAUAGAUAUGUAUCUAUCUUUGUCCAGUUGUGAUUGAUUUUUAAUUAAUAAUUACUCAAUACACUUUUUCAUCCAUAUUCAUAUUUUUCCAUUUUGUAUCACACUUUCAAUCCUCCAUACAUUAUGUUUAGCAUACAAAUCAAUAUUUUUUCAUCGAUUCCUCACAUACAUGUAUAAAUGGUCUAAAUGGUGGCACUCAUCAUGUGUAUAUACUUUAACUUAGUAUUUUUAUAUUAACAAUGACAUAAAUACGUAAUUUAAAAUUAUAUAUUAAUUUACCUUUUAACAUUUCUGUACGAUGCACAUGAAGAUAAUUAGAUUAAGAUUUAAAUGUUUACUUUAGGUUAUUUUUAAUAACGACAUACGUGGAUAACAUAGAUCAAAUUUUAGAAUGACAUUUUAAGUUAUGCUUUAUAAUGAUGUGUAUUAGUAAAUUGGAUGAAGGUUAUGGGGUUACUUUAGAUUAUUUUUUAUAAUAGCUGAGCUCAGUAAUUGAAAUAUAGGUUUAGAGCUCAUUUUUGAAUACUUUCACAAUAAUAGUGGUGGGUAACUUUUUAGAAAAUAUAAUAGAUCAAUGGCUAUGAUUAUUAGAGUUUACAGGAUUGAUGUUUGACGUUUUUAAUUUUUAUGAGAAUUUGUCUCUUUUUUCUGGCUUGUCUCGUGGGAACUCAUGCGAAGCCUCCAAUGGAAAAAAUGAGACUACAUUGCUAAAAAACUAUUACCAUAAGCUAGCUCUCGUUGUUAAAUAUUCGAACACACAAUGCUUAUGUAGAUAUAAACUUAAUAUCUUCAUCUAAUUAUGAUAGAUUUUAGUUAGCAACUACUCUAUAAUAUUUUCAUCCACAUUUAUAAUCUUUAACUUUUCACUUUGCAUCGUAGGUAUGCGCUUGAAUUUGUUUAAUGAACGUUAAGUUUGAGAUACAAUUUUAGCAUAGAAAUCUAUAUUCUCAUCACUUUAUAUCCUUAUAAAUGGUGACACACAUCAUGUGUAUAGACCUUAAUUAUUAUAUCGUAUACCAAUAGUGCAAGAUAUAGACGAUUUAGAAUUAUAUAUUGUUGUAUAUUUUUAAUUAAGGUUAUUUGAUUCAAACGUAGAGUUACCUCAUGUUAUUUUUAAUAAUGGCAUGUCUGGGUAAUAUAGAUGCAAAUUUUAAGGGGUUUACAUUUUUUAAGUAAUAGUGGUAGGCAAUUUAGUUGCAAAUUAGGGGUUAUUUUAAAUAUUAUUUAUAAUGGUAUAAGUGGGUAAUUUUGAUGAAGAUUAGGGGGUUACUUUAGUUUAUUUUAUAUAAUGGCAGAGGUGGGUAAUUUAUAUAUAGAUUUAGGGGGUUACUUUAGGCUAUUUUCAUAAUGGCAUAGGUGGGUAAUUUUUUAGAAAAUAUAAUAGAUCCAAUGACUAUGAUGAUUUGAAUCUAUCGAUUGAUGGUCGGAUGUUUUGCUUUUUUUGAGAAUUUCUAGAAUUUCUCUCUUUUUCUAGAGUAUCCACCUAGGAUUUCUAGGUGGCUUCACCUGGAGGCUUCAAAAGAAGCCUCCAAUUACUAUUAGUAAUAGUAAGAUAAGAUGCCUAUGGAAAAAAAUCUUUCCAUCACUAAUUUAGCAAGUGUAAAAGCGCUAAACUUUUCUUUUGCGAUAGUAGAGUUACACAUGUUGUUCUGAUUAAAUUACUUAUCCGGCUAUUGAUGGUUUGGUGUGUUUCUUUCCUCCGAGAAAAUUGUCCCUUUAGUUGAUCCAAGUUAUGCCUUCAUUUUGGACGUGUGGUUUUUCAAUUUGUUUGAUGGGUCACUGCACAGUAAUGCCUAUCACCUCUUUUGCGGCGUUAGAAUUCUUGAAAUCUGAUUACCUUACUUGUUUAAUCAUCAAUGCUUUAACACUAAUUGACAAAAUUCAUGAGUCACUUUUCCCUUAGACACAACCCUUUCUAUCGAUCCAAGUUUGUCGAUUAGUGUGCAUUUUUCCUUCUCUUCAUUAUGUUGUAACGGGUUCCUUCUAGAACCCUCAUUGUCUGUAAAGUUACACCUGGAGCUUUGAUUAACUUAAUUGUUUGGCUAUCGAUGGUUUAGUGUGUUUCCUUCCUUCGAAAAAACUACCGUUCUGUCGAUCCAAGUUUUACCUCCACUUUGUACGUGCAGUUUCUCAGUUUGUUGAAUGAGUUACCAAAUAGCGAUGCUUAUCACCUCUUUUGUGCAGUAGAAUAGUGGAGCUCUGGUUACUUUGUUUGAUUAGCAAUGCUUUAACACUACUAUUAAAUGAUCACUAUAUUUUUAUCCUCCAUUGUUACAGGUUCCUUUUGUGAUAGACCAUCCUACUACUAUUGGAGUUCUGAUUGUGCUGAAGCUGAAUCUUUUACAUUGCUGUUACACUCAGGUGGGGCAGUCACGGUUCCAUAAGGUACUGGCCUUCCUUGGUUGUUUGACUGGGCGUGUUAUUGGUGCUUUUCAUUUUUUUUUCACGUGAGCGGUUGGUCAUUCUUAGCUUGCACUAGUCCUUUUUUGUUAGUGUUGUUCAAACAAUUUUAGUGCCAAGUGGCAAGUCUUUCCAACCUCAAUAGCUCUUCAUGUUUAUGAAAAAGCCUUCCCAUUGCUAAUUUAGAAUGUGUAACUAACACUUUUCUUUUGCGUUAGUAGAGUUAUGCUGGUAUUUUGAUUUACUUACUUGUCUGGCUAUUUUGUGUGUUUCCCAUUAUUGAUGGUUUAGUGUGUUUCUUACUUAUGGGAAAACUGCCUAUUUUGUUGGUCCAAGCUAUGCCUAUUUUGGACAUGUGGUUUCUUAGUUUAUACGUCAGGUACUGUAGAGUGAUGUGAUAUCACCUUUUUGUGGUAGUAGAACUGUGGAGCUCUGAUUACCUUACUUGCUUUAUUAUUUAUACUUUUGCAUACUCUUAAAUGCUCACUAAGAUUUUCCCCUUUAUUUCUAUGGGGUUUUUUUUGUAAUAGGCCAAACCACUACUGAAGUUUUGAUUUUUUUCCCCCAAGUCUUUUGCAUUGCCGUUACUCUCAGGGGAGAUAAUCACAGUUCCAAAGGUACCGGCUCUAAUAUCCCUCCUUGGCUGUUUGACUAUGUGCUUUAUUGGUGCCAUUGAAUUUUUUUUCCCAUCAGCAGUUGUUUGUUUUUAGCUUGCAGUGUGUUUUUUUUGUUAAAGUUGUUUGAAAAAAUUAGUACCAAGUGAAAAUGUCUUUCCAACUUUAACACUUUUCAUGUUUAUAAAAAAAGUCUUUAUCACUAAUUGAGCACGUGUAGAUGACACACUAAACUUUCCUUUUACAAUAGUAGAGUUAGACACAUAGUGUUUUGAUUAACUUACUGUCUAGAUGUUGAUGGUUUAAUGCGUUUCUUUCCUUUGGGAAUUCAUUUUGGCCGUGCGUUUUUCCAAUUUGUUCGCAUUGACAAGCUUACUGUACAAUGAUGCUUAUCACCUCUUUUGCGCUGUUAGAAUUCUGGAGCUCUGAUUACCUUAGUUACUUAUCUAAUUAUCUAUGCUUUAGCCCUAUUCUUAAAUGCUCACUAGAAAUUUCCCCUCUGUAUUUACAGGUUCUUUUUCUAAUAUACCAUCCCUGAUUGUUGAAGCUGGAUCUUUCCCAUUUCUGUUAUGCUCAGAGGCACACAAUCACGGUUCCGAAGGUACUAGCUUUAAGAUCAUUCCUUGGUUGUUUGACUCUGUGCUUUAUUGGUGCUGUUCAUUUUGUCUUUUGGCGUGAGCAGUUGUUUCUUUUUAGCUUGCAAUGAUCCUUUUGUUAGUGUUGUUAGAAAAAUAUUAGUACCGAAUAAAAAUGUCAUUUCAACCUCAAUCACUCUUCAUGUUUAUGAAAAAAAAAGCAUUUCCAUAACUAAUUUAGCAUGUUUAAACCCACUAAACCUUUUCUUUUGUGGUACUAAAGUUACAUGUGGUGUUUUGAUUAACUAUCUUGUCUAACUAUUGAUGGUUUAGUGCCUUCCUUUCCUAUCCUAAGGUCUUGUUUGGAUACUAGUGGAUUGAAGUGGAAUGAGAGGGAUCAGAGAGGAAAUUAAUUCAUUUUGGAUUCAAUCCCCUUCGUUCUCUUCCAAUCCUCUUCUAUCCAAACAAACCCUAAGAGAACUGCCCUUUUUGUCAAUCCAAGUUAUACCUAUUUUAAACGCGUGGGCCUUUCAUUCGUCGGAUGAGUUAUGGUAGAGGGAUGCCUAUUUCCUCUUUUGCGGCGGUAGAAUCAUGGGGAUUGAUUACCUUAGUUGUAAUUUAGCACAACUCUUAAAUGCUCACUAUAUUUGUCCCUUCAUUAUUAUACAGGUUCUCUUUGUGAUAGAGCAUCCUUUUGAAGAUUGAUCAAGUUCUGAUUGCUGAAGUUGAAUCUUCUACAUUGUUGUUACCGCUCGGGGGCAAGCAAUCAUGGCUCCAAAGGUACGGAGUUUGAGAUCCUUCCUCGGCAGUUUGAGUGUAGCGCUUUAUUUUUUCUGGUGAUCUUUUUUUUCCGUCAGCAGUUGUUUGUUUUAAGCUUGCAAGUAGUGGUUCUUUGUUAGUGCCUUUUUUUUCUUAUGGGAAAAUGCUAUCUUUUGUUAUUCAAAAAUAUUAGUACCAAAUGAAAAGGUCUUCCCAACCUCAAUUGCUUUGCGCCUGAGCCACCCGUCCCAAGCUGGAUGAAAUCAGAGCCGUUCAUUCUCUCUGUCAUGCAAAUGGACUUGAUGGCCCACAGCGCCAUGCUGCCAGUCGCCGCCUCAGCCCCCUUGAUGGCCCCCCCAGCCCGCCGUCCUUGCGCGACCGCCUCGUCUCGCCGCAUCACUGCCUCCCCGCCUUCAUCUUCAUGUGUCCUCCCGGUGGUGUCAAGGUGAAGUUGGGGGUGGAGAUGGAGCGGAAGCGCGGGCUUUCGUCUGCGACGUCGCGGGCUGGGGCGCCAGGUGAGCCCAUCACGUCGCAAAUUUGGUCACGGUGACGGUGCGCUGCCACCAGUUCACCACUGUACCCAACACUUCACCUUAUUUACCCACCUUGCCCAUGAGUUUGGUUAUUAGGAAUCUACUACUGAGUAACUUAUUUUAUUUGCACAUACUAGUGAUUAUUUACGUGGCUUAUCAUUUGUAUCAUCUUUCUUGACACCAUUCUCACAUAAGCUAUUUGCGUACAUGUAAUUGUUUGAGUUCUUAUGCUGUUGCGACGCAUGGGUGACACAUGGGUAACUUCGUUUUUUAUCUUUUUUGGAAUUGUAGGUCCGGUAGAGAUUGCCGGACUUGUAUUAAUUAAUAGAGAAGAAAUGGAUAACUUCGUUAGCAAAAGGCCAAUUUUGCAGUUGUCUGGUCAAAGGUCAAGUAGAGUUUUUUUUUUCCUUGUAAAGUUGCAAAUGGUUGUUCAUCGCUAAUUUAGCAUGCAUGUGUAUUACCAAUGCACCAAAACUCCUAAAAGCAUGAUUCAUAUAGAUCCUGCAUAAGCACGAGGUGUUACAAAUCAAACUCUACCGGCUGAAGCAUUUACACAUAAUAGCUUUGCUGAGUUUGUAAGAAAGAUAAAAAGUUGUUUAACAAUUUACAACUAAAAAUACCUUUUGAUUUAUUAUUGAAUCUAAGCUAGAAGGUGCUCAUUCCAAGUUCUUUAUUUCAUCAUCUUGCCUGUGUUCUUCAUUGGUUGGAGGCGUUCAUACUAGUUCCAAACUCUGAUACUUGAGUAAUUACUUUGACGAUACCUGAACAUUAAUUUGAUAUCUUUUGUUUUAACAUCACCUUUCCUUUUUGCAGGAUAGCUUCAGCUUAUUCAUUAUAUUUGUCUGCUUCAUUGCUAGCUCUGCUUUCGCUGGAUCUUCUGAUAUUGAGAAUCUAUACGAUCUGAGGGAUGCAGUUGCUAAAUCAAAAGACUCCCUUUCGGACUGGUUUGGUACAGAAACAUGUCCAUGCAACUGGAGGGGUAUAACUUGUGAGGGAGAUACUGUUGUGGCCAUAAACUUGUCAUCUGUGCGACUGCAUAUCCCUUUUCCGUUAUGCAUCACGGCAUUCCGGUCACUUGGUAUGCUCAACUUAAGUGGGUGUGAUUUAUCUGGUCAGAUUCCAGAAGCAUUGGGAAAUUUGCAGCAACUCCAGUACCUGGACCUGAGCAGUAACCAGCUUGCUGGGCCCAUACCUUUCUCAUUAUAUGAUUUGAAGACGCUGAAAGAAAUAGUGCUUGACAGAAACAGCGUGUCUGGACAACUGAGCCCUGCCAUUGGCCAGCUUCAGAACCUCACUAAGUUAUCGAUAUCGAGGAACAACAUCUCUGGAGAACUUCCUCCAGAGCUGGGCAGUCUGAAGAACCUAGAGGUCCUCGACCUUCAGCUGAACAGAUUCAAUGGAUCGAUACCGGAAGCUUUUGGAAACCUAACUCGGCUCUUCUACCUUGAUGCAAGCCGAAAUAAGCUCACUGGUUCAAUAUUUCCUGGAAUAAGCGCAUUGCUGAACCUGCUGACAAUUGAUUUCUCUUCAAAUAGUUUGGUGGGGCCAAUCCCUAAUGAGAUUACUCAUCUGAAAAUGCUGGAGCGUUUAGCUUUGGGGUUCAACCAUUUCACUGGAGGGAUUCCAAAAGAGAUCGGUAACAUGAAGCACCUAAAAGAACUCUCUCUCACUGAAUGCAGCUUAUCAGGCACCAUCCCUUGGUCAAUUGGUGGUCUUGGAAGCUUAGUGGAACUUGACAUAUCAGGCAAUGACUUUAACUCAGAACUCCCAGCGUCUGUUGGUGAUUUGGGCAAUAUGACUAUCCUGAAUGCAAGGAAGGCAAAGCUCGUAGGGCGUAUACCAAAACAGCUUGGCAACUGCAAGAAGCUUACUCUUCUACGUCUGUCUUUUAAUUCCUUCACUGGCAGUAUACCUGAAGAACUUGCAGGUUUAAAAAAUAUUGCCCAUUUUGAAGUGGAAGACAACCAACUGUCAGGUACUAUUAGUGAUUGGAUUAAAAAAUGGGCAAAUGUUGUUUCUGUAAACCUUGGAAAUAACAAGUUCUAUGGUUUGGUACCACCUACCAUAUGUCAAGCCAAGUUGCUGCAGUCACUCGACCUGCAUUGUAACGAUCUGACUGGGAGUAUCAAGGAGACAUUCGAGGGCUGCAAAAACCUGGUUCAUCUGGAUUUGCAAGGUAACCAUUUCCAUGGUGGGAUACCUGAAUACUUGGCUAAGCUACCGCUCACGAUACUGGAUUUGUCCUACAACAAUUUCACAGGAGAGCUACCUGGCAAGUUGUUUGAGUCAUCAACCUUUUUGGAACUCAGUCUCGACAACAAUAACCUUACUGGCCAUAUACCUGAGAGCAUUGGCAAGCUCCACAGCUUGCAGAGGUUGCGGAUGGGCAGUAACCACUUGGAAGGACCUAUCCCACUGGCAGUCGGCGCUCUAGAGAAUUUGACAGAAAUAUCUCUUGAUGGGAAUAGACUAUCUGGGAGCAUCCCGCAAGAGCUCUUCAACUGCAGAAACCUAGUCAAGCUAAACCUGAGCUCUAAUAGUCUGAUGGGACCCAUCCCGAGGUCCAUAUCUCAGUUGACUUCAGUCACUGGCUUGGUUUUGUCUCACAACCAGCUCUCUGGUUCCAUUCCUGCUGAGAUAUGUGGGGGUUUCACGAACCCAACUCAUCCUGAAUCAGAGUAUGUUCAACAUCACGGCUUUCUUGAUCUGUCAUAUAACCUGUUGAGUGGUCGUAUCCCCCCCGCGAUCAAGAAUUGUGUUAUUCUGGAGGAGCUACUCCUGCAAGGUAACUUGCUGAAUGGAUCUAUUCCUGCAGAGGUUGCUGAGCUGAAGAAUAUUACGAAGAUUGAUCUCUCUUUUAAUGCAUUAGUUGGGCCUAUGCUUCCUUGGUCUGCGCCAUUGCUCAAGCUGCAAGGCCUUUUUCUCUCUAAUAACCACCUAAGUGGCAAUAUUCCUGCUGAGAUAGGCCGCAUUCUUCCCAACAUUGCAGUUCUAAACUUGUCCGGUAAUGCAUUUAUGGCUACUCUGCCCCAAUCUCUACUAUGCAGCAAGACUCUGAACCGUCUAGAUGUCAGUAACAAUAACCUCUCUGGUAAAAUCCCGCUAUCUUGUACUGGCUAUGGAGAAUGGUCGAGCUCACUGAUCUUCUUCAAUGCAAGCAGUAACCAUUUGUCAGGGAGCCUAGAUGAGUCUAUCUCAAAGUUCAGACAACUGUCUUAUCUUGAUAUCCACAACAAUAGCCUCACCGGAAGCUUGCCAUCAGCAUUGUUCAAUCUUAGUUUUUGGGGCUAUCUUGAUCUCUCAAAGAAUGAUUUCAGUGGUGCCAUUCCUUGUGGUAUAUGCAAUAUAUCAAACAACGGAUUUGUCAAUAUCUCUGGCAACAAUUUUGGCAUGCAUAGCUUAUCAGAUUGUCCUGCAUCAGGCAUUUGUGCUGCAGAUAGUAUCAAUCGUAGGGGCAGCCAUACCCCUCAUGUAAUUCUAACAGUAGUGGCCAUUUGUGUUGCUGUCACCGUCGUCAUUGUGGUUCUUCUGGUAUUUUUUCUGAGAUGGAAGCUGUUGAGGAACAACAGGUCACUGCCUCUUGUCCCUACCACUGCCAGUCAAUCCAGUGCUACAACUGAGCCAAGCUCAAUGGAACCUCCGAGCAUCAAUCUCGCUACAUUUGAGCAUGCACUGCUGAGGUUCACCCUAGAGGAUAUCCUGAAAGCUACCAAUAAUUUCAGUAAUGUGCACAUCAUAGGCCAAGGUGGCUUUGGGACUGUCUACAAGGCAGCGCUGCCUGAAGGCCGGAGAGUCGCGAUAAAGAGGCUUUACGGUAGCCACCAGUUCCUCGGUGACCGCCAAUUCCUUGCCGAGAUGGAGACCAUCGGAAAGGUGAAGCAUCGUAACCUUGUUCCCUUACUUGGCUACUGCGCUCGUGGUGAUGAGCGUUUCCUCAUCUAUGAACACAUGAGUCACGGGAGCCUUGAAACGUGGCUGAGGGACCGAGCAAAUGCUCCUAAAGCAAUUGGAUGGCCUGACCGUCUCAGGAUCUGCAUCGGUUCUGCCCACGGGCUCAUGUUCCUCCACCAUGGCUUCGUGCCCCGUAUCAUCCAUCGGGACAUGAAGUCGAGCAACAUCCUGCUGGACGAGAACAUGGAGCCCAGGAUCUCAGACUUUGGCCUCGCAAGGAUAAUCAGCGCGUAUGAUACUCAUGUCAGCACCAACGUUGCCGGCACGCUUGGCUACAUUCCCCCAGAGUACGCGAUGACCAUGAAAUGCACGGCCAAGGGGGAUGUCUUCAGCUUCGGCGUCGUCAUGCUGGAGGUGCUCACCGGGCGGCCACCUACAGGGCAAGAGGUGGAAGAAGGGGGUGGGAACAUUAUUGACUGGGUGCGGUGGAUGAUCGCGCAGGGUCGGGAGGGUGAGCUGUUUGAUCCUUCCUUACCAGUCUCAGGUCUGUGGCGGGAACAGAUGGUGCGUGUGCUUGCCAUCGCUCUGGACUGCACCGCCGACGAGCCACGGAAUAGGCCGACCAUGCCGGAUGUGGUGAAGGGCCUCAAGAUUGCUGAGCUGAUGGAAAGUGAACCUCACGACCUCCCUGGACGUGUGGCGCAGCCAUGAUCUUGCCAUGCACUGCUGCCUACUGGUAUGUUUUUAUUUGUUUAUUUAUUUACUAAGAGCUUCAUAGAAAUUAGCAGUACUAAACUCAUGCUACUUCUGCCGGAUCCAUCAGCUCUUCUGUCCUUUAUGUGGUCUUAAAAUGCUAACAUAUAACAAAAGUUUAAGUAUAUAAACCUGGAUAAAUGCAGCCUCUGCAGCAAGUUCCAAAAUAGCCAAUUGCAUUAGCUGGGUUCUUUUGGGUGUACAAGUGCUAGAAUACUGCAUUUUCAUACAGGUUUAGUGCUCAUACUGUAACCUAGACCAGCUUGGACAGCAGUACUGAUCAUGUGACUUCGCAUUGGCAGCCUGUACUUCCUGGAGAUCAACCUACCAAAGGAGAUGAGCUUGGAGCGUAUAACGACACCCCUACAACUAUUUUUCAACUUCACAGCAGCAUCUGAAGUGGGCAACGACUCGUCAGUCUGUCAGGCAAUUGGGCGUGCAUGUGUUAGGGCAAAGAGAAUAAUAAGGCGCCAAACCGAAAUAAAAACUUUGGCCUAAGAUUGGUGCACUAGCCAUGUAAUGUUUAUGCUGUUGUAGUGUUGUACUCCUGGUCCGCGAUGAACAUCAACUUGUCGCCGGGUAAUAAAUUUUAACUGGAACCAUGACAUCCUGAUCGCGGUAUUAUUAUUUUGUUUCGCCUGCCUGGCUGUGCAGCCAAACUGCUGCCAGUGAUUUCUAAAGAAUUUUGUAGGAAUCUGUACUAGUUCUAGUGAAAUUCUGAUGCGAUCCAAAGUAUGCGCCAAAAUUUGAACUCUCUAUCAUUAAGCGACACGACUAAAAUUUAACACUCUUGGCAGUCCCUACAGCCAUGGAGAGCCGUGGAUUACUGUUAAACAGAAGUUUCAUUUUACUCUGAAUCGCAUCAUCUCUCACCGUGUUUGCUAGAAACGUGUUCAGGUAAUAACAGAUCAGAAAGACUUUGUUGCUUGGCAGUUGGCACUAUGAUGAAGAGAGUGGAAUUUUCACUAUUAAAAAUACGUACAAAAUUGGACGUAUGUGGUCUAUGGAUUACAAGUUCAGCACACACAUGUCGAUUUUUGAAUUGCACGUCUUUGGAGGGCAGUUAGAAAAAGAAAAUAGCGCUGCAUAUUCCAAUCACGAGUAGUACUGAGGGCUCCGCAGUGCAAAUUGCUUCGAGAAACAUUUUUACUUCAGCUUUUUUUGGAAACGUUUUCUUAGUGAAUUCGCGAGAUCGUUGAUGGUGUCCACCACCAGAGAAGGUUCAAGGUUGCACAACACUUAUAGGCUUAGUGCAGGAGAGCACAAUCGCGUGGCACAUGGGCUGGCACAACUCACUAGGCAUAUAACAAACAUUGUUGUGGCAUUUUCAAGCGCUUCUAGGUGUGGAGCUGGAAUUUUUUCUUAGUACUCCCUCCGUUUUUAUUUAUAAGGCACACACGUAUAUCAGGAUUUAAAUUUUGCAAUCUUUGACCAAUAAUUUGACUAUUAAUUUUUUAUUUUUAUAAUGUAAACUUUAUAUGGUUGGAUUCGUAAUCAAAUAUACUCUACAAUGAUUAUAAGUUUAUAACCAUAAACAAUAUACUAUAAGAUAAAUAAAUGGUCAAAUUGUUAUUUGGAAUACCGUGCUAAAUUAUACCAUACCUUGUAAACAUAGAUGGAGGGAGUAAUAUAUAACGUUUUAUUUUUCCUUUGAAAACUAGGACCGAGAAAAUGUCCACGCUCAUGUCAUGGGGUCUUUAAAUGGGAAAAAAUAAUUUAAUUUCUUUUUUAGACAGAAAAAGGCAAAUAGUUUGCUUUUACUCGCUCGCAACAAGAAAUGUUCUUUGUCCUGUAUAUGGGUAUAUGACGAUUACUGAAUUCAAUAGAGUAAUAGCUGUUUAAUGUUGUAAGGUAUAGUGAAAUGAAUGUCCUACUAAAAUGCAUAUUUUCACUAUACAGGAAUGCAAAAAUAUCUCCACACACCCAAACUGCGAGAACAGUAAUUUUUCUUCCAAAUAAUGAAAAAUGUGCGAAAAAGAUAAAAGGAUGAAAGUUACUAUUAGAAAACAUAAAUGUGCAUUCAAAAUGUGAAAAUUAGUCCAUCCACAUAUGACUUUAGAAAAAUCAUAACUAUUUCAUGUGAUCUCAAAUGGAUAUGAUCUUUAUAGUUGUAGCUCUCAAUGCAAUCUACAACUUUGUAGUUGAUACGUUUUCAAUUUCAAAACUGUAUUUUUUAGUCUGAAAGGCAGCUGUAAAGUUUUGACAUGCGUUAAUUCUCGGAUCUUUUUAGAUCGGAAACUAGUCAUGAACUAUAUAGCUUCCUUUUGGCCACUAAAAUAGUGCCAAAUAAAAGAUUACUAACAAUAAAGUUGUAGAUUGCAUCAAAAGCUAAAAUUUACAUAUAAAGCUUCAUUGGAGACUCGGGGAGCAUGUGGUCGACUUAUGAUUUGUUUUCAAAAGUCACCCGUUGAUGGACUAAUUUUUGCACUCCUAAAUACGCGAACAUAGUUUUCAAUAGUAACUUUCCCUCCUUUAAUAUUUUUACGCAACAAGUAUUUUGGGUUCCCUAUUUGCAAGAGCGAAAUUAUCCAUUUUCUUUUCAGAAGAAUGUAAAAUAUUUUUUUACCUUUCAAAGAUGAUAGCAUAAUAUUUAAUUAUGUAAUUUGUUCAUUCUUGCGUUAUUCCUAUAAUAUCCAUAUUGAUUCAUUACAAAACUAAUUUUUUAGGGGAUUUUCAAUAGGGGCAAAUGGGUAAUGCAGAAGAACUGAAGCCAUGGCAGGCAAUGAAUGUGGUACCGUCUAGCAAAUUAAAGUUCAGGAUUCUCCAAGAAAGGAUUUUGCUUCGAUUUCUCCCGGAAACGUUUUGUUGGUGAAUUCGCGAGAUCCCGGAUGGUGUCCAUCACCAGGGAAGGUUCAAGGUUGCUACAACGCUUCACGUUUAGUGUUGAAUAGCGUGUAAAUCAUGUGACGCGUAGGUUGGCACGACUCGCUAGGCGUAACAUACAUUGUUGUGUGGCAUUUUCAAGCGCCUCUAUGUGUGGAGCAAAUUAACAUGAUUUUUUCUUAGUAAUACAUAAAGCUCUAUUUUCCUUUAGAAAAACUAAUACUAUAGCAAGUUUGUACAUUCCUGGCAUCUUAAGAAAAGGCAAAGAGUUUGCUCAAUGUCAUCCGCAAAAUUUUUUUUUGCAGCAUCUUCUAUAUAGAAGCCCAUGACAACGACUGAAUUCUAUAGAGUAGGAGGUGUUUACUGCUGUAAGGUGAACCAAAAUGAAAAUCCUGCUAAAAAAUGGAUGGUUUAUCAUGAACCAAAAUGAAAAUCCUGCUAAAAAAAUAGAUGGUUUAUCAAAGCUACAAUAAAGAGGAAAUCACCCUAGCAGGUGAACGGCGUGGCACCAUCACGAGAAUAAGCAUGAACCAUGCUGAUAAAUACCUACCGGAACAGGGAGCCAGGGCACUCAUGUCUUCAUUCCUGCGCAUUCUGCUCCCUCUCUCGCUCGCCGCAUCGCCGACGCGAGACAGAGACUGAGGCUGGCCGAGGUAGCGAGCGAGAUCAUCGGCGUCCCUCCGCUCACUCCAUCUCGUGGUAUUGCAACACACUUCCCUUCUUGCAUAUGUAGUUGUUGUGCCUGCGUUGUUCACUUGUUGUGGCGGAGUCUGUUCGCUUGUUGCGCAUAGUCCGUUCUUGUAGAUUUGAUCCCUGUAGACGGGUAGUGUUUAGUCGUUGGGUUGGAAUAGGCAAUCGAUGAAAGGCUGGGCAUAUUGAUAGACCAGAUCAAACGUGGUGCGACCGCGCUCUACAUCGAACGUAGAGAUCUAUCUGAGGUGUUGACCGUCAUAUGGGAUUUCACAAUUUAGAUCUGUUUACUGAUGUUCUCGUUCUCCUUAGAUUUUACUACCGCACGAAGUUCACGUGGCCUUUUUCUAUCUUGUGAUUCUCUACUUAAUUAUAUGUUUCUUUUUUUUCUCCUAAAUUGUUAUCUUUUUGUAGGCUCUAGUUCAUUUGUAUUGCAAUUUCGGUCAUCCUUAUUUCAUUUUGAGAUAAAAGAGUUGUGGACCUUUAAUUAUCUUACAUAUCUCGUUAUCAUUGGUGUAAAGCUUGUCGCAUUUGUGUAUGUGUGUUGUUCACUUAUUGUGUGUAGUCCGUUCACUUAUUGUGUCUAGUCAUUUUCUUCUUGUGCGUGGUCCGUUCACUUGCUGUGUGUAGUCCAUUUGCUGGUUGUGUGCAGUCUGUUGGGUCAUAUGUGCAGUUGGUGGAAGGUUAGGUAUAUAGUGGAAGGAUAGAAUAUGGCAUGACCAUGAUCUACAGUAUGAAAGCUUAACAAAACUUUGAUGGUUAGAUGGUAGCUACUAGAAAAGCUGAGUUGCCUCAUUGUUGCGUAAUAGGUAUUUCACAAUUUAGAUCUCCAUUUCUCCUUGGAGUUUAUUUCUACACAAAGUUCAUGAGGCUAUUUUUUGGCUUGAGAUCCUAUGCUUAUAUGUUACUUUUUUUCCUAAAAAACUACUAUUUUUUGUCCAUCCUAGUCCCACCUUCAUUUUGUACAAGACGAUUUUUCUAUUUAUUUGUAUUGCAACGAGUUAUCUUUCGAUCUUGCUUGUUGCCUUUUCUGAGACGAUAGAAUUGUGAAAGCCGUGGAGCUUUGAUUACCUUUCUUAUCUUGUUGCUAGUGGUAUAACCCUCAUCGUGGUUGUGCAUGUGUUUUGCUCACUUCUUGUGCGUAGUCAAUUUGCUUGUUGUGUGUAAUUCAUUCUUAGAGCAUUAGUCCAUGUGGACGUGUACUCGUGUAGUGUACAAGCAUUGGGUUGGGAUAGGCAAUCGAUGGAAGGCUUAUCAAUGGAUGCAAUAGAUCAAACUGAUCUGCAUUAUGAAACUUUAAUCAAACUCUGUCAGUCAGUAGAGGUCAUACGUAUCAGCUCCCUUUUAGAACCGUCAAGGGAUUUCACGAUCUAGAUCUGUCUUCAUGAUGUUUUCCUUCUCGGUAUUUACUCUUAUGCGAAGUUCAUGAGACUACCAUUUUGCUUUGCGAUCCCAACUUAUAUGUUGAUUUUUCCCAGAAUUGCAUAUUGAGAUGGUAGAAUUGCAUUGUCUUUAUUACCCUACAUGUAUAGUUAUUGGCGGUGCAACACUCUUAAAUGCUUACUCUCUUCUUCUUUUUUUUUGUUUUUUACAGGGUCUAUUUCUGGCAGACACGCUCCGAUUGCAUUGCUGAAGCAGAGUCUUUGGAAUUCCUACUUCGAGCUCGGAAUCAUGGCUCCAAAGGUAGUGUCUAAGAUGCCUUUGCUGUUUGACCACUCAAUUACUCGUUCCAUGGUGUAUUUCAAUUUCCAUGUAUUUUCCCCCAUCAAGUGUUUUUUUGUUGCGGUUGUACAUGCCUUGCUCGUUAUGAUCGACUGAUCGUGCAGGGGGGCAUCGUACAUUACAUUUUUUUUUUGAAACGGUACGUUACUUGUUAGCGUUCAAACGUAUACUAUCAAAGAUACCAAAGGAAAUCCACGUCAGCCUUGCAACCCCACUUGCUUGUCAUCUUUACAUCCGAGCCAUCCGUGGCAACCUAGAUGAAAUCAAGGCCGUUCAUCCCUAUGUUACCCAAUAGACACGGCCACCCGGCAGGGGAAAACACUAGCGGCGCCGGGCGCCGGCACGGCAGCGCACAACCCGGCGGUCGGCGGAUCCCGGUAGGUGGCGCGCCGACGCUGGAGGCCUGAAGGCCGGACCGGCAGCGGCGCCUGGAGGCUGGACGCGCGGCCGGCGUGCUUUGCCGGUGCGCCGUGCAGCCGGAUGCGGGGUGCCCGGCGAGGAGGCGAGCACGCAGGCGCCGAUGUGAGCGUGUGGGAGAUGUGGCGCGGCAGACUGCCGGUGCCCCAAUCCUCCUGAUUCCCCAAUCCGGCAUUGAAGCAAGUCGGUCUGUCAGUUCUGUGCUCCUUUUCCAAUCCGUCAGUCCCUCAGUUGAACAAAUUGAAUUCGUCAUUCAUGGGUUACUUAUGAUACAAUCUGUAGAUUUCUAGUAGAAUUACUCAAUCGGGAGGAAGACAUUGAAAUUCUUUUAUUCUCCCUCUCCUAUGCCUAUAAUUCAAGUUCAAUCUCAAUCUAAAACAAUAGUACAUCUGGAACUAGAAACAGUAGGAGAUGAACCAAAUCGGCACAGUUAGAUAUUCCUUUUAUACAGCUUCAAAGUUUUUAUCAAGUUUGUUGUACAAUUAGACUUGAAAUUGAAUUAUACUCUAAAUCAUGCAUUUUAUGCUUCAGUACUGUUAAAUCAUGCAUUUUUUUUCGUUUCAAAAAAAGUACCGUUCCAUAUCGUUAUGUGCUUGGUUUCGAUGGUUUUAGGCCCUUAUAAGUUGGCCCUAGGCGUGUGAACUCGCCACCUCCGCCACUGAUUACAAACCUAGUAGAUAUCUGGUUUAGCAUGAGUAUACCAAUACAGCAGCAUCUCUUUUCUUAGACACACGAUUAGUAUAAGCCCUGCACAAGCAUGAGCCAUUGCCAAAUAGAGACCCACUGGUUGAAGUACUUGUAAUAGGAACUUUUCUCAGUUUGUAAGGAAACUGAAAAAUAAGCAGUGCAAUCAUUUUAUAAACCAGAACCAACUUUUAACUUAUUAUGUGCGAUGUACUCUCAUUUUAGAUUCAUUCUUUUAGCAUUUUACGGUCCUUCAUUGGUUGAAGGUGUUGGUAUUGUUUAUAACUUUGUUACCUGCACAUUUAUAACUUUUAUUUUAACUUUGCCUUUCAUUUUUGCAGGAUGGAAUCAGCUUAUUGGUCCUAUUUGUCUGCUUCAUCGCUAGCUCUGCAUUUGCUGAAUCUGAUAUAAACAAUCUAUAUGCUCUGAGGCAGGCAGUCGCUGAAUCAAAAGGCUUCCUUCAGGACUGGUUUAGUUCAGAAACUCAGCCAUGCAACUGGAGGGGUAUAACUUGUAAAGGAAGCGCUGUUGUGGCCAUAGAAUUGUCAUCUGUGCCACUCCGUGUCCCUUUUCCGUUAUGCAUCACAGCAUUCCGGUCACUUGGUUGGCUCAACCUAAGUAGGUGUGAUUUAUCUGGUAUGAUUCCAGAAGCCUUGGGAGAUUUGCAGAAUCUCCAGUACCUGGACUUGAGCAAUAACCAACUUACUGGGCCCAUGCCUUUCUCGUUAUAUGAUUUGAAGAUGCUAAAAGAAAUAGUGCUAGACAGAAACAAGUUGUCUGGACAAUUGAGCCCUGCCAUUGCUCAGCUUCAGAACCUCACUAAGUUAUUGAUAUCCAAGAACAACAUCUCUGGAGUACUUCCUCCGGAGCUGGGCAGUCUGAAGAACCUAGAGGUCCUGGGCUUUCACCAGAACAGAUUUGAUGGAUCAAUACCAGAAGCUUUUGGCAACCUAACUCGGCUCUUCUACCUUGAUGCAAGCAGAAAUAAGCUCACUGGUUCAAUAUUUCCUGGAAUAAGCGCAUUGCUGAACCUGCUGACACUUGAUUUCUCUUCAAAUAGUUUGGUGGGGCCAAUACCUAAUGAGAUUACUCAUCUGAAAAUGCUGGAGCGUUUAGCUUUGGGGUUCAAUCAUUUCACUGGAGGGAUUCCAAAAGAGAUCGGUAACAUGAAGCACCUAAAAGAACUCUCUCUCACUGAAUGCAGCUUAUCAGGCACCAUCCCUUGGUCAAUUGGUGGUCUUAGAAGCUUAGUGGAACUUGACAUAUCAGGCAAUGACUUUAACUCAGAACUCCCAGCAUCUGUUGGUGAUUUGGGCAAUAUGACUAUCCUGAAUGCAAGGAAGGCAAAGCUCGUAGGGCGUAUACCAAAAGAGCUUGGCAGCUGCAAGAAGCUUACUCUUCUACGUCUGUCUUUUAAUUCCUUCACUGGCAGUAUACCUGAAGAACUUGCAGGUUUAAAAAAUAUUGCCCAUUUUGAAGUGGAAGACAACCAACUGUCAGGUCCUAUUAGUGAUUGGAUUAAAAAAUGGGCAAAUGUUGUUUUUGUAAACCUUGGAAAUAACAAGUUCUAUGGUUUGGUACCACCUACCAUAUGUCAAGCCAAGUUGCUGCAGUCACUCGACCUGCAUUGUAACGAUCUGACUGGGAGUAUCAAGGAGACAUUCGAGGGCUGCAAAAACCUGGUUCAUCUGGAUUUGCAAGGUAACCAUUUCCAUGGUGGGAUACCUGAAUACUUGGCUAAGCUACCGCUCACGAUACUGGAUUUGUCCUACAACAAUUUCACUGGAGCGUUACCAAGCAAGUUGUUUGAGUCAUCAACCAUAUUGGAAAUGAACCUCGACAAUAAUAAGCUUACUGGCCAUAUCCCUGAGAGCAUUGGUAAGCUCCGCAGCUUGCAGAGGUUGCGGAUGGGCAGUAACUGCAUGGAAGGACCUAUCCCACAGGCAGUCGGCGAUCUGGGGAAUUUGACAGAAAUAUCUCUUGGUGGGAAUAGACUUUCUGGAAGCAUCCCACAAGAGCUCUUCAACUGCAGAAACCUAGUGAAGCUAAACCUGAGCUCUAACAAUCUGAUCGGACACAUCCCGAGAUCCAUAUCGCAAUUGACUUCGCUCACUGGCUUGGUUUUGUCUCACAACCAGCUCUCUGGUUCUAUUCCUGCUGAGAUUUGUGGGGGAUUCACGAACCCAACUCAUCCUGAAUCAGAGUAUGUUCAACAUCACGGCUUACUUGAUCUGUCAUAUAACCUGUUAAGUGGUCGUAUCCCACCCGCGAUCAAGAACUGUGUUAUUCUGGAGGAGCUACACCUGCAAGGUAACUUGCUGAAUGGAUCUAUUCCUGCCGAGCUUGGUGAGCUGAAGAAUCUUAGAACUGUUGAUCUCUCUUCUAAUGCAUUAGUUGGACCUAUGGUUCCUUGGUCUGCGCCAUUGCUGACCCUGCAAGGCCUUUUUCUGUCUAAUAAUCACCUAAAUGGCAAUAUUCCUGCUGAGAUAGGCCGCAUUCUUCCGAACAUUGCAGUUGUAAACUUGUCCAGCAAUGCAUUUAUGGCUACUCUACCCCAGUCCUUACUAUGCAGCAAGAGCCUGAACCGUCUGGAUGUCAGUAACAACAACCUCUCUGGUGAAAUCCCAUUAUCUUGUCCUUGGCAUGAAGAAUCCUUGAGCUCGCUGGUCUUCUUCAAUGCAAGCAGUAACCAUUUAUCAGGGAGCCUAGAUGGGUCUAUCUCAGAUUUCGGACAACUUUCUUCUCUUGAUAUCCACAACAACAGCCUCACCGGAAGCUUGCCCUUGGCACUGUCCAAUCUCAGUUAUUUGAACUAUCUUGAUCUCUCAAAGAAUGAUUUCAGUGGUUCCAACCCUUGUGGUAUCUGCAAUAUAGUUGCCAUCACAUUUGCCAACUUCUCUGGUAAUCGGAUUGGCAUGCAUAGCUUAUCAGAUUGUGCUGCGCCUGGCAUCUGUGCUCCUGAUAGUAUCAAGCAUAAGGAGGGUCAUCCAACUCACGUGAUUCUAAAAGCAGUGACCAUCUGUGCCGCCGUUAUAAUUGUCAUUAUUGUGGUGGUUUAUGUGUGGCGUAAGCUGUCAAUAAGAAGCAGGCCGAUGCAUUUUGAACCUACCAGUCAAGCCCAAAGUCUGCAAUUGAGCUCGCUACAAUUGAUCCCGCCUCAAGCGAUGCGCUCCUAGGAAAGGAUGAAGGCGCUGGGUAGAAUAAAAUUUAUGGCUAGAUUGAUGCACUAGCCUCGUCAAUUUGUCAUUUGUAUGCUGUUGUACUCCUGGUCCCUGCGUUUGAGCAUUUCCCCCCCUUUUUGCAAUGAACAACGAUUUGUCGUCGGUUUAUAAAAUCUAGCUUGAACCUCACAUCUUGAUGCAUGUUGCGCCUGCCUGAGCCUGUCGAGGCAGGCAGCCAAACCGUUCUUACAUUUUCUUUCGCCUUUUGUUAUGUUUCAGUAAGUGAUGCGUUUAAAAUCAUUACUGCCUUGCCUUGACUGUAUUUUUCACUACGGAUUGUUAACUUACGAUGCCAUUUGCCAUCUGCUUUGCUCUGGACCAAAGCGAAGUGCUGAAGCGUAGGCAGCGCUCCGCUCAGACAGGGCGCGCCCAGAUUUCCGAGCGAAACGAAUCCGCGAUUGGAUUUUCCGGGCCAAACCCCCCAGUCACUGACGUCCUGGCCCAAAGCGAGGACACGGAAGCCCCACCCGCCUCCACCGUCCCAGCGCCCGUCGCUGCCAAGUGGGCCCUUUCCUCCGUCCCCACAACAUUGAAAAAUCCGAGCAGAGGGGUAAAAAUGGGUAGCUCGGGUGAGCGGGGGCGCCGCUGGGUUCCUGUUCCUUCCUCGGGAAGAUUUCAAAUCCCCGCUGCCCUCCUCCACUCCUCUGCUCGGCCGCCUCCGAAAAAAAAUUCGCGCAUCCCGCCGGCGCGCUCUCCGAUUCGCGCCCCCCAUCUCCUUCCCUUCCCCAUCCGAUCGCUCGUGGCCUCCUGCGGUUAGAGCUGGGACUCGGGGCCUAGGGUUUGGAGCGGUUGGUUGGGCCAACCACAGAUGGCGGGGGCGCAGGGGGAGAGCAGUGGCGAGCGGCAGGGGAUGGCGGAGCGGCGGAUGCUGCGGUCGCGGUACCUCGCCAUGAAGAACCGCAUCAGCGGUAGGCGGCCUCUCCCUCCCUCUCUUGUCCGCGCCGGCUCGCACGGGCUUCCAUUUCUGGGUCGGGCUGGGUUGGGUUGAGGUGUGAUUUUGACUUUUGAGGGGGCUUUGUUUGCGCGCAGAUGAGCGGGAUGAGAUGGCCAGGGUGGAUUCGGACAAGUUCACGGCCAUCAUCUCGCAGGUGGAGUGCCUGCACGAGCUCGGUGAGGAUCGACUCCCUGUUGCUUGCGAACGAACUGCAUUUCUUUUCUUUUUUAUUCCAGAAAACAAGUGUUUUGAUUGGUUGAGAUUCAACUUUGAAGUGGCGUGAGACGAGAAGGUUUUGAUUGGAAUUGCUGCAUCCAACUUUUAUUUGGGUUUUGGAUUUAGGGAUGUGUUUUUCUAUCAUUUGAAUGGUGUGCUAAGAUUGCUGGUUACUGUAGAGUUGUUUGCUGGAGUGCUUGAAGCAGGUUUAGGAAUAAUCACUUCUGAUUUAAUAGCACACAAGUCGGGUACAAAUGGCUCCAAUUGAAGGGAGCUGCAUUAUUUGAACUCGAAUUUUGUCAUCAAGGAUAGGUUCAGUUACAGCUAGCCUGAAAUCUUUGAUAAAGUAGUUUACUUGGGACCAAGUUCUAGUCAGCUUAUGUAUAGUUUCACUCUAGAGCUUCCAAAGACUGUUCCCCGAUCAUGACUUGCUAUUGACAUUCACACUGAAUUUGAAAUGUUUGGAGGUUCUGAACUCAUCGCUCAGUUUGUUGUACUGAUGAAGGUCUUGCAUUAAUUUAUUCCUAGUCAUAUUUCAAUCUCUUGUUGACAUUUAUGUUGCAAAUUAUUAAGUGAACAUCAGGGUAUAGUAAUAACAGUUCAAUAGUAAUAUCAGUGAACUGUUUAUAAAAUCCAUAGAUGUGUUUAUAGACUUUGAUGCUUCUCUUAGGUGUGUAGCCUUGACAUUAGUAUAUUUUGAGAACAAGUUGUUAUCUUAAUGUUGUUGCCUUUAAUAGUUUGAUUUAUAAAUUUCUGGAAUACAUGUAACAUGGACUCACAUUACAUAUUAUAGGGACUGUGAAGUUUGCAUUAGUUUGUUCAUCCGUGCCAAUUGGUAAUGUUGAAUAUUUGCUUGCUCAAUACUUUGGUUUAUUACAUGGCUCAUUGCAUUCUGUGCUAAAAUUGAUUGUACCAUUUGCUUGUCACACCAAUUUGGUUAUUUAUUGUGAGAGCAAAUGCUUUAUUUUGCUAUGCCUUGCUGGUUGGCUAUUCAAAAUUUAAUCUGCACUAAAAUUCACAAUGAGUAUCCUUCCACACUGCAGUGCAGAGACCUAGGGAGCAAAUAGCUGAUGCAGAAGCUCUGCUUGACAUUGCCAGCACAUUGGUGACUUCGGUGAGGUCCCAGUCAAGUGAAGGAAUCACCCCUUCUGAUUUUAUAACAGCUUUGCUGAAGAAAUUUGGAGAGCAAGAGAGCCCAGAUGAUGAGGCCACCUCCUUGCGCUGGGGAGAUCUUGGACUUUCUGUUUCACAUGCCUUCAGGCCUGUGCCUGGAUGCUGCACCAUGUAUGCUCCUCUCUUUUUUGUAAGUUAUGUAUGCAUCCUCGGCUAGUCAGAUGACUUAAACUGUGCAUUCUCUUAAUGUUUCCAGGCUUGGACCCAUGAAUACAGAAGUAAAACAGCGAAAGGUUUCGACUGUUAGUAGAAAACGAACUGCACGGCCAACAGAAAACACUCGUCCUGAAGAGGUACCAACAUGCUUUUCAUGAUGUAAAUCAUACAUUCAAACAGUAGAAGUCAAGUGAACUCAUGGUUUCUUUUAGGUCUUCCUUUUGCCUUCGAUCUCAAUGCAAUAGGCCUUUCUUUCCUAUAACUUUGUUGUCAUCUAUAUGCACUAGGGUUGCUGACUGUUUCGGAGCUGACUUCCAGCCAUAUGAUUUUUUCCAAAAUGCAGCUUGCUGAUUCUUCAGAGGAAGUAAAGACAGACACUGACAGGAAUGUGCUGGUAAUAUUUGAUACCCUGAGGCGGAAGAAGAGUGCAAGGCUGGAAAACCUUGUUUUGAACAGGCUUUCAUUUGCUCAAACAGUUGAAAAUAUCUUUGCACUGUCUUUCUUAGUGAAAGAUGGUAGGGUGGAAAUAAAUAUAGACGAUAACGGGCAUCAUAUAGUACGUAAGUACUCAAUUCCUUUUGUGGUUAAGUUAUAUUCUGGUUAUUCUACUGCAGAUGUUUCUAAAUAAUAUUGUUGACCUCAAACAGGCCCAAGAAAUGCACCUGCUGCUAGUGACGUAGCCUCAGGAGAUGUCUCCUACAGCCAUUUUGUCUUUAGAUUUGAUUUCAAGGACUGGAAGGUAUAAUUUCCGAUCAUUAGAUUUGUAUUUAUUGGUAAACUUACAUAUAUUUUACCUAAAUAUUCAUUAUCCAACCUCAUGCCUGCUGCUAGUUUGGGAAGAUAAUUGUUGGAAAUCCAAUUGAAGGAUUAGCUUAACAUAUCGAACUACUCUCCCCUUUGAGUACCCCUGAUUUAGAUAUGUCACCUAGGAAAACCUCACAUUCACCUAUUCAGUUUGCCAUAUGUUUUUUUUUAAACUGCCACAUGUUGUCCAUAUAAGCAUGCUGCCUUUGCAAGAGAAAUUAGAGAAACAAAAAUGAAUAAAAUCAAAAUUCAUGGUGGGGAACAGUGACUGUAGUCUUAUUUGUAUAUAUUAACAAGUAAUCUAAUGUUACCUCUUCACUUAUCAUCCAUUUACAGCUUAUGAAAGAAUUAGUCUCAGAGGGUGAAGAACUGUUGCCUCACAGGACCUCCCAGGGUGCUACCUGCACUGAAGAGAAUGAUCAGCCAAAUCUGGAGGCAUGUGCGCAAAGAACGCCGAUCAGAAAACUCACCCGGAACCGAGGCUUGGUCUUGCAAGAACAGGUAGUCCAGGAAACACCCGAGGAGAACCAAACGUCCAAGCGCAAGCGCCUUUUCAGAGAUCAGGACUGACCUAGCAAUUGCUUGGCAUGAGCAUUGUACCCUAGAAAUUGCUUGGCAUGAGCGGUGUGGGCAGGCAGCCUGCCUUAUUUUGUAUGUACAAAUGUUAGGUUUGUAGGACGGUUGUGCCAUGCCAUGUUGUCGUAGCACAGCUCGUGCUUCUCUGAGAAGUAGAGGUGUAACUAAAUUUCAGUCGUUUCAACUUCCAUUGACAUCCUUCAACCAUAGAACGGUCUUUGUAGAUCAGACAUGACGCGUCGACGUUUAUGUAGAUGCAUCAGAGGCUGAUGAUGAUUCAUUCGAUGCUCGUUCUGUUAAAUUUUUAUUCGUUUAUUUACUGUACCCAUGCGAGAGCUAAUACAACCCCACAAACGGUUAAACAACUCGACAAAACAAAGUUACAACAGAAAAUACUGGCAGCGUUUAUGUUUAACCAUCGGAACUGUCCACCAUGAUUGUCAGAAACCCUGGAUACUACAGAGAUAAAGGCAAAAUAGCAGCAUUAACGCUUCGCAAAACAGGGCACAAUAGAACCUUCAAGAAGAAAGGGAUGGGUAGAAGAACCACCAGGCUCCCAAAACAGGUCACAAUAGAACGUUCAAGAAGAAAAACAGAAAACAGAUUCAGUAGCAUAGGCCUAAAGAAGUCAGCAAAUCCAUCAUCCAAGAUCAAGUUUUGAGUUACAUUGACUAAUCACUACAAAGUACUGACAAAGACAUGGAUCUCAAGCAGCAGCAGGCUUGCGCAGCUCAUUUUCACCAUGGGCAAAGUGGCAUCUGUCACCAAAAGUGCACGACCCUUUUGCAAAGUUCUCACACAUCUUGGUCUUGAAGUUGCUUCCUGAGCCUCCACGGUGAGGUCCUCCAGCUGGGUUCUUUGCUGGUGGAGGGGCACUGCCACUGAUGUUGACAAUCAGCUCCCCGACCAUAGCGCUAGCAUUCUUGAUCUGAUCAAAGGUGCCCUCAAGCUCGAUGUUUUUCAACUUGGUGUCUGAUUCAUGGUCCCGGAUGGCCAGCUUGGCCCCAGUGACUCGAGAUAUCUGCUUUGUGUUAACUCCACCCCUCCCAAUGAUGCGACCAGCAAGGGAUGCAUCAACACUGAUCUUGGCUGUGGCAGAAGCACCAAAGCUUGCUGGAGUGGCCAUGCCAGGGUUGACCAUAGGCGGAGGUGCAAAGUGACCAGUGGGUCCUGGUCCCAUGGGGAAGUGCGUAGAGCUGUCCAUCAACAUAGGCUUGCCAAGCUCCCUUUCACCGUGUGCGAAGUGGCAUUUGUCCCCCCAUUUGCAUCCAUCUGCAGUUUUGUACUUGUUGCACAAGCGAGUCUUCAUGGUGGGUGUAGGUGGCCCGUCCAUCAUCAUUCUUCCAGGAGGUGUAACUGCUGGGCCACCCAGGUUGGUUAUCUUUGAAACUGCCUGGUAGCCGCCAGGGAAGCAAUGGAGAAAAUGGCAGCCCUCGCCAAAGGGACAACCAGAGGUACUGCAAGAUGACAACAUUAUCUGGGUAAGUAACUGAAGUAGCUGAAUAAUAAAUAUAUGGUAACAAUUGAUGAUAGCAGCUGAGGAAAACAAAAGUAUAUGGCAUUUUAAAUGUGUGCUAAUAAAAAUAUAAUGUACCAGUAUGGAUGAACUUCAGAAAAAUCUGAAGAAAACUUAACAUGACUUAACAAAAUAGUGGAAACGGAUUAUCUGCCAUGUUCUGACAAAAGACAUUCAGAGUUUGCUACAUUUCAAAAGCUGGGCUUAAGAACAUAUUAUUGGUACCAUGUGUUCUAGAUCCCAAGCUUAAAAUUUGUAACUCCAUCACGGUUAAACGAUUACUAGAAUUUAAACAUCAUAAUAUAUGCAAUGAACAUUACUGUACAGCUACUGAUGUAAGUAAUAAUAAGUAUAAUUUCGAACCAUAAGGUGGUAGAAUUUGUCCUGCAGAUACCAAAUAUUUGGAUAAUUGGUGUAAGUUGCAAAGAUAUAGGUGGCGCAAUUUCAAGAUGGGAUUCAAUUGCAGUUCCCAAGUCAUGUGCUCAAACUUCUUCUCAAUUUGAGCAGAUGACGCAGCAUGACCACAGCAACUGAUUGUUCAUCUCAGAAAGAAUUAGAUGUCCUUAUACUGUUGUUGCGUCUUUCAAAGGUUCAAAGUGAUUUGCACAACCAUGUGCUUUCCAAUUUUACUCCAGUAGUGUUCUUAAGCUGGAUUAGGAGAACCUGUAUCACAAUAUUUCUUAACUGUUCUGUUAGCCAUAAGAGAUUCUUUCAACAAAAGCAAGUAAAUUUUAAUUGAAAUAAGCAGCUAUGCAGAAUAAAUGUUACCAGGUGGGAGUUCAUUUUAAGUUGGAUUAUAACCUGAAAAAUUUGGUGCAUGGCUUCGUUUUGCUUCCUACACCAGUUUGAAAUGACUCCGAUUCUGUUACAUCAAAUUAAUUUUGCUCGCCAAGUUAAUAUGUUGUUGAUUUACUAAUCUCAGUAUACAAGAAUGAACAUUAAUGAGGGCUUGCCUACAUCAGUACAGUGCAUUAAUUAAAACACAAAGUUUACUGACUUCAGUUUGUAUCUGCUACCCAGAGAUUCUUUCCAAGCCGUUGCCAAAUUAUUGAGUGGGUAGAGGACACAGCAAGCCAACAACUAAAAAAUUAUAAACCCCUGCAAUUCAAACAGAAGACCCGUACCCUAAAUGAUUCUAGGCCAAAAUGCAACAAAUAAGCCCAUGCCCCCACCCGAAUAAUGCAAAAUUGCCAACAUACGAAAACUUCCGCGCCGAGUUGACGAAACUUCGGGAACGAAGUGAUUCUCAUUUCACCAAACAACAACCCUAGAUCCCACCAGAUCACCGCACCGCGCAGCAUCCCACCGAAAAUCCCCAAACCCUAGCAUAGCAAACAUCUCAAAACACAACCAAUCCCCAAGACGCUCAGCCCUAAAAUGUUCAACCGCGUAGACGAUAAAACACGUCCCGAGAGGACGACGGUUUGCGGCCAGAGCGAGGGCGGGUUCCGCUCGACUCACCUCGCGCGCGCUUCCCGCCGGCGGAGGCCCCGUUGGCGCCGUCGGCCGUGCCCCUUUUGCGGACGUCUUCCAUGGAUGCUCCCGCUCUCGCGUCCCGCGAGUUCGGUUAGGGUUGGCAAGCCGCGGCGGCGCGGCGAGGAGCGCGUGGGGUCGUGGAGCCCGUGGGGAGUGGCCUCUGAAGUCUGAACAACGGCCACGGGACGGGGAGGCGUGCGGAAGAGAGUGAGCGAGUGCCAGCGGCGGGGGGAGAGAGGUCGAGGCGAGGAGAGAGGAAAGCACUGACCGACCGAUGGGCUCGGGCCCACGAAGGAGGGUGAUGUGCAUUCCCGCUUCUCAGCCCAAAUGAUGCGCAGGCCCACCUGUCUAUCUGGCCCCGGCGGCAUGCCUGGCCUCCCCUUUUCUUCUUCUUUUUUGAUGAAAAGCGCCUCCCUGUUCUUCUUGGGUAGCAAGACUUGACCUCCUCAUUCCGUUCAGAAUCCUAAUGGGCAGGUGGGAGAGAUUUUAGCUGCCAACCACGACGUCACGAGGACGCCGUUCUGUUUUGAAGUUUCUCUUUUUAUUAGAUGUGUUUAUUAUUAAAUAAGUAAACAAAUAGAAGAUGACCUGCCAGAAAAAUAUCCAAGUCAAACUGUUAAUUUGUCAUUAUUUUUUCAAAAGGAAAAGGGAACCCUGAAACGUCCUCACUUUUCUAUUCUCUUUUCAAAGAAAAAGUGUGAUGCCGUCUCGCUUUUGCGGUGGUACAGCGCAGUUUAGCCACCAAAUUCCAAAUCAUUGACCAAUAGAUUAUUCAACCAACCUUUCAAAACAAUCAGUACCAUGUGUCACAAUUCACAAGUCAUAAGCCGUCCACCUCACGAGUCCUGGGAGCUAAAAACCGAUGUCCCUUUCUUCAUUGCAGAGGCCAUAUGCCCAUAUGGAAGAGGCACACGUCGCAUCAUAAUAUUUGCCCUCUGGUUGUGUACCAUUCUUCACUUCGUAUAUUUCUAAACAGGUCCAGCCGUGCCUCCUGGAAGCUCGCUUCUAUUCGUCUAGAAAAUCCAUGUCAGAGUCAGGUGAAGGUGAUAGCCUUAUUGUGCAUGAAGAGUUGGAGACUACAAGUCGUACUUUGUGUUCUUUCUCCCCACUUUCGAGCUGUUGAAUUUGCCUUUCAUGAAUUGUUUGUUUCAUGCAAAUUUUCCCAUGGUCUCAACCAAAAUUCAUUGCAAACACAACAAAACUUGUCCCCCACCCCAACCUGGGCUGUUCAUCUGAGAAAAGGACGAUCCACGUUUCAUGCAGUUCUUAACCUUGCAGUGUCGCCCUUUUAGAAAAGGCACACCUUUUUUCCGCUGAAGAUUUUUUUUUCUUCAAAAGAAUCAUGCAAGCCUCCUACAUUCUUUUUUCAUUCUAAGUAAUUCCCUGGAUGCUCUCUUAACCUCGACAAUUAUAACAAAAAAAACAUCUUGGGAUAUGCCCCUUCAGUUUUUCUGAUUAACUUCAAUUUUUUUUGUAAAAUCUAUCUAAACCAAAUCAAAAAGAUAUUGAAGGGGCGGGUAUAUCAUUUCGGAUGGAACCCGAAGCCCCCGUAUAUAUUCGGCUCGCCCCUGACCCCUCAGCCCUCACCAACCGAGCCCGACGAGGCGACGACCACCCCCAUUCCUCCUCCCCCAACUUCUCGGCUCCCCACCUCCCUCGCCGCGGAACGCGCGGCCCGUCCCCGCCCGUGUUGAUCUCUUCAUUCCUUGGUAUUCCUUGGUAAGCAAGCCUACACAGAUUGCUAGUUUUAUUCGUUAUUAGAAACUCCCCUCCGCCGCGAGCCCUCGAAUCCAAUCCCAUCUCCAAUCUCCCCCUCGCUCUGUUGCGGAUUUGCUUGCUGCGUGGCGGAGUGGAGUAGUAAUUAUCAGUUUGUUUCCCCUAGUUUUUUUUCGUUGGGGUUCGUUUCGAUUCAACUGCGGUGGCCUGAUGUGAUGUGUCUGCGCAGGUGCGGUAGCCGAGCGCUCCGGCCAUGGCGUUCUUCCGGGGCCUCACCGCGGUCUCGAGGCUGCGAUCCCGCGUGGUGAGUAGUGGCGCGUGUGUAUUUGCGGGCUGAUUCACCGUUUUUUGGGUGCUUUCUGCUGAGAUUUUUGGUGUUGUUGCCGCCAGACGCAGGAGGCCACCACGCUGGGUGGUGUGAGAUGGGUGCAGAUGCAGAGCGCUUCCGAUCUCGUAAGACACUUCGUCCUCCUGUUGUGCCUUGUGAUGGAAUUUUGUGUAGUCUGGACAUGAUGCUGAUUGUGUUUCUGCAAAUGCAGGAUCUUAGGUCCCAAUUGCAGGAACUGAUUCCCGAACAACAGGUUUGUUACUCAAUAGACCUGUCUGUAAAUCUUGUAAAGCCAAAAAGUUCCUGGGGUAUCUGAUACCUUAUCUUCUGUUCUUUUAGCCAAAAGUGUCAAUUUCGAUCUCUUUUGUUCAGUUCAUGUAGUUCUUUGUGAGAUUUUGCUUAAUUCUGUGUCUAAUACAUUUUGUCAAACGUGUGGUGGAACAUGAAAUCAAUUUUCUUCUCUGAAAGUAGCAUCUAUUAUGCAUCAAUUCUAUUCCCGCUUCUGUCAGUGGCACUUAGUUUGUGUGCAGCUUUAUAUUUGCACCUAGCUGCGAUCAGAAAAAUUAGAAUUAGUUUAAGAGAAACCCACCUGGCAGCUGAUUUCUGUAAAAACUUGUCCUUAUGAAAUAUGAACACCUGUUCAUCUCGCCUUACUGUUCUCGAAUGUUAGGAGAAACCAUCACUUACUCUGCUGUAUUUGUUACAGGAUCGCUUAAAGAAGCUCAAGUCAGAGCAUGGAAAGGUCCAGCUUGGAAACAUAAAUGUGGACAUGGUAUGGAUAUAUCACUAUUCAAAUGUCUACGGAUACCUCUGGUUCCUUUCUAGAAUGUAUACUGACUUAUUAUGCGAAAUUCCUGAAUAAUGUUCUUGCAGGUCCUUGGUGGAAUGAGAGGGAUGAUUGGAAUGCUUUGGGAAACAUCACUACUUGACCCAGAGGAGGUAAUCUUUCAUUCAUCCACUUCAUAAUGCUAUGUUAGCAGUGUAUUAUCAGUUCAUGUCCAUUCUAUGUCAAAAUAUGAUCAAAGUUUCAGAAUUAAGUAGUGCACAAUGAUCUAUAGAAGAUGCACAUGGAAUAAAUUUUCUAAGAGUUUACUAUGGCGCAGGUUUACCAGAAUAUUUUAAGUUAGUUUCUUGUAUUUAUUAUAGUAUUGGAGCUGAUUUCGAUUUUACCAAAUCUGAGUGGCUGGACACACAAAUUCAUCUUUGUUGUUGGAUGCAACCUAGUUUCGGGCGGCGUUAACAUAUUUAAACAUCGAAGUGAAGCAAAGAAUCACAUCAUUCAUUGGCUAAUAACCACUUCUUUUCUAUCCAGGGCAUUCGUUUUAGGGGCCUCUCAAUUCCAGAGUGCCAGAAAGUGCUGCCGACGGCGGUUAAGGGUGGUGAGCCUUUGCCUGAGGGUCUCCUUUGGCUUCUUCUGACGGGAAAGGUAUAUCCCUGCCUAUAAAUCACUUGCUCCAUAAUAGUUUAAAAAUUGUUGCAAAUGUGUUCCUCCAAAACUAGGAAAUUCGUUGCUGAUUGAUUCAAUGGGACAAGUUUCUUGCUUAUCUUUGUAUUGUUAUUCCUGUAAUAUGUUUUCAGUUAUCCCCAAUACCGUAUUUCUCAGUUUUAAGCCUCUUGGUUUUUUGUUUUCAGGUUCCAACCAAAGAGCAAGUUGAUUCCCUUUCAAAGGAAUUGCUGGCCCGUUCAAGUGUCCCAGGUACUUUGAUCACACUGCUGGCUACUUUUGUUAUUGUUUUUCCCCUUGGAAAUUUGGUCAAAUUAAAUCCAGAAACUAUCUGAAUUGAUUGAUGCUAAUGUCCCACUUUUCUGCAAGUUCAAAGGUAGUCACAGAUUAAUAGCGAGAUCUGAACUCCAAAAAAAUCAAUAGAGAGGUCCAUAUGUUUCCGUUAGUACGAUCAUGUGUAGUUUAUGUGCUCUAUCUUGCCACUUUGCUCGCUAGCAGCUGAUAAUUGAUAUGGUUGCAGCACAUGUCUAUAAGGCAAUAGAUGCUCUCCCUGUAACUGCACAUCCUAUGACACAGUUUACCACUGGAGUAAUGGCUCUUCAGGUAAGUCCUGCCAUGUCUGACAUGCUGUUUCUUUUUUUCCCCCUCAGAAAGUCUUGUGGAAAAAAUUCACUAUUUGUGAUUUAUUUGCAGUUGUAUUUCUAAAACUGUUGCAAGUAGGAUUUAGAUUAAUUUCUCAUCGUAUCAUUCCUGGUAUUUGGAAUUACUUUAAGCCUUCAAAGUGUGACUCUUCCUGUUUUUACUCCGUUUCAGGUUGAGAGUGAAUUUCAAAAAGCUUAUGACAAAGGACUGCCAAAAACAAAGUAAGCCUGGGAUUUAUACUGCUAUCCAUUUUCUUAUUUUUUCAACAGUUGCUUUUCAUGGUUUUUACAAUUAUUAUAUUGAUAAUAGGUUCUGGGAGCCUACGUAUGAAGAUGUCCUAAACUUGAUUGCUCGGCUUCCGCCAGUGGCAUCUUAUGUUUACCGGAGGUAGCUUUUGUUCACAAAUGCUUGAUCUUUCAAUUCACUUACUGGAGAUGACAUCCAUGAAUGAUUAUUUUGUGAUGAAGUUAUAGACAUGAGCAAAUUUAGAAUUUGUAUCAAUUAUUUUGUUUCACUUGUCCUUUGAAGGAUUUUCAAGGACGGGAAAUCAAUAGAAGCUGAUAAUGCUCUGGAUUAUGCUGCAAAUUUCUCACACAUGCUUGGUUUUGACGAUCCCAAAAUGCUGGAGUUGAUGCGCCUCUAUAUAACAAUUCACACGUAAUUUUCCAUCCAUCCUUAUAUUUUUUUAUUUUAUGUUUCUGAAGAACUUGUUUUAAUUUUCCUCUCAUACUGUUAACUGGGUUCUUGCAGUGAUCAUGAAGGUGGGAAUGUCAGUGCACAUACUGGUCAUCUGGUAAUAUUUGUUCUCUGGUUGUGAUCUUGAUUUUCUAAACAAUGUUUCUUAACGUGCCAAGAUGAUGAAAACUGAUCACUGUGUGGUACCUUAUUUGGUAUCAUGGCCUUUUACUAUUUACUCCAUGGCAUUGGGUUGAAACAUCCUCUGAUCAUGCCGCUCAUCUAAUUGCAGGUUGGAAGUGCCCUGUCAGAUCCCUAUCUUUCUUUCGCAGCAGCUCUGAAUGGUUUAGCUGGGCCACUUCAUGGUCUGGCUAAUCAGGUAUGCACAGUUUGACACACCGGAUCUGCUCUGCAAUAUUUAUCUUGCCUUGUGCUUUCUUUUACUCGUGAUUGCAAAAAAGAUUUCUCUCAAUAGAUAAUCUCCCCCUGGCCCCACAGCCAUUCAUUGUACUAUUUCACUACAUUACUUGAUAAGUUGAUAUGUAAUGAACCUCCUUCACUGAAAGAAGAAACACAUUUUCCUGCCACUCUUAGUUUGAUGACUUGAUUUUAUAACGUUUAUAAACUUACCAUAUAUUGCAGGAAGUGCUUCUAUGGAUCAAAUCUGUAAUUGAGGAAACUGGGAGUGAUGUUACCACAGAUCAACUCAAAGACUAUGUCUGGAAGACACUAAAGAGUGGAAAGGUAGCAUGUCUCAGUGUUAUAUUAAUUCAAAAGAUGUUUACUUCAUGCUCAAAAACAGGUUCAUCAAAUGUUAUGAGAUUUGAAAUGCUGUGCAGUAGGUCUAAUAGAGUUGACUUGGAAUGUUUAUGCAAUGUUACGUGCACUGUUGUUUAUUUGGUUGAGCAUGAAGUUAUAGAAAUCAAAUUCCUAAUAGUUGGUUGCAUUCAAUCAUAGGUUGUUCCUGGCUUUGGUCAUGGAGUUCUGCGUAAGACAGACCCACGGUAUUCAUGUCAAAGGGAGUUUGCCUUGAAGCAUCUGCCUGAGGAUCCACUUUUCCAAUUGGUCAGUCUAGACCCUGAAUCUAAUUGCAUUUACUUUCUUGGGUUCAACACUCUAAAAUGUGAUGUUCUGUUACAGGUAUCCAAGUUGUAUGAAGUCGUGCCUCCUAUUCUCACUGAGCUGGGCAAGGUAAUGUGGUUGAUCAUGUUCUCCACUCUUGUUUUAACAUACUCUCAUGAACACCAUUCUUUGCUCAUGUAUUCUCAGGUCAAGAACCCAUGGCCGAAUGUUGAUGCACACAGUGGAGUUUUGCUGAACCACUUUGGAUUAUCUGAAGCACGGUAUGUUUAUCCUUGGCAUUUAGAUAUCAAUUUAAUCCUGACUUGUGACCUAUCAAAUCUAUGUAUGAGUACUCAUGUCCGGAACACCUUGUUUUAACCACGCAGGUAUUACACAGUCUUGUUUGGUGUCUCAAGGAGCAUGGGGAUAGGAUCUCAGGUCUGCUUUUGUACCCUCCACUCUUAGAUUCUUAUAUUCUGGUUCUUCUAUCUGCUAAUUGUGGUCACUUAUCUUUGAUAUAGCUCAUCUGGGACCGUGCCCUUGGCCUACCACUGGAGAGGCCGAAGAGUGUCACCAUGGAGUGGCUGGAAAACUACUGCAAGAACAAGGCUGCUUGAAGCUAAACAUAGGCUGAUGCUUUUUUACACACCGUCAUUUUUCCUGUUAAUAAAUUACAGUAGUCGUUUUCCUUUUGGCGGUCGAAUAACAAGAGCAAGAGGCUCUCAGACGGCAGAAUUUUGUAUCCUCCGUCACUCGUGACAUCCAUAUAGUUGAAUCUCUGCGGCACCACUGAGCAGACGAGAAUAGGACAUGUUCAUUAAUCUUUAUACAUGGCGAUGCACGCCAGUUCUUUUAACCUUUGCUCGUUCGAGUCUGUUUACAGUUAUUUGGGUUUUGGCAGCAUAAGCUGACAGUUCUUUCAUGAUAAAAGAGGAUAUUCUGAUGCCUGUCAUGCGUGGUGCGGCGUGUUCCAAAUUGUGAGUAGUGUAAUCGCUUUGUGGUUUGCUGAUUACUUCUCUGGUACCGGUGUUGGUUCACUUGAACUGAAAUGAAAAGAGUGUUACACUCGAAUUUUAUCGAGGUUAUGCUAUGGACAUGGGAGGCGAGCUCGAUCUAUUAUCAGGGCUGUUUUGUCGAGGCACAUUGCGAUCGGGCCGGCCAGUUCGUCGCCGUAUCAACGGAACGCGGAUGACGACGGUCGACGGGCGCGCGAGGGCGCACGGACUCGUUUUGGAUCGAUCGCUCUCUCUCGGUCUCUCUUCGCGGUUGAUUUUGGGCCUGGCUUGCAAUUGGGCCAGGAGGGAUGCAUGGCCUGACGACGAGACAACAACAUUUAGUCCCAUCUCGGUUUACUGCCCUCGGGUAACCAGGCUCAAAUGAGCGGUACACAGCCCACACCUCGGGGUUGGAAGGAGGUGAAACGGACCUAGGUCUACGCUGUUAAAAGUGAGAUCGCCCAGGUUGGGACGAGGGAGUGGGCUCGCUAUCUUGGCCCAUAUUCCGAACACGAAACUUGGGCCCCUCCCACGAAGCUGGGCUCUGACCCCGUGGGGCAACUGGUGGCCUCGUCCGGCCCUCCUUCCGACUCCACCCCCACCUUUUUUUUUGUUUUUUAAAUUGUUCAUUUGGCAGGCCAUGUUGAAGGAACAAACGGGCUGGAAGCCCAGAAGCAACAAUCCGCGCAACCUGGCAGUUCUGUCUGGUCAAAACAAAAAUCCGUGCGCGCGUGAUACUGGCCCGCAUCCGCGCGCGCGGCCGUUUCCCCUUCUCGCAUCGGCAUAACCGGCCACCAUCGGCGCGCCCUCGGUUCCAUUUCAAGAGUUUUGAACCAGUAGGUCGACGGUCGGUCAGCCGGGGCCAAGCCAGACCAUGUCGCCGCGUGACGAUGCCGCCGCCAAGCGCGACCGCCUGAGCGCGCUGCCCGACGACCUCCUCCACCGCAUCCUGCGGCCCCUGGAAGCGCGCCAGGCGGCGCGACACCUCAGCCUCCUGUCGCGCCGGUGGCGGCGCGUGUGGGCGUCGUCGCCCUUCGUCACCCUGAAGGACAAGGACAGCGCCGGCUCGGAGAGGUUCGUGAACAAUCUGCUCCUCCUCCGCGACCCCCUGGAUCUGCAGGUCUUCUGCCUGCAGAAUUGGCAGUGGGAGCGCUUCGCCUGUGGCUGUGCCACGCCCUGAGCCGCGGGCUCCGCGUGCUCGAGCUCGCGCUCCGAGGCGCCAACGCGAUCGGGCUGCCGGACCGCGUCUUCACCUGCGCGACGCUAGAGGAGAUCAGCCUGUCAUCCAGGGCCAGGGAUUUUAUCGCGCCCAAGUCCGCGGUUUGUCUCCCGCGCCUAAAGAAGCUGCACCUUGAGAACGUGCAGAUCGAUCCGUCCGCAGUGGAGAAGCUCAACUCUGGAUGGCCGUCGCUCGAGGACUUGAAUCUGUAUCAGUGCUGGCUUGGUUCGUUCAAGAUUUCGUCUGAAAGUUUGAAGACUCUGUCGAUUACCGCCUGCGUGUACGAUGAGAUCCAUGUUUCUGCUCCUAACGCCGGUUCCCUGAAGAUAACAGUUUCGAGAAGAGUCUAUCUGUCUGCCAUGCCAUCUCUGGUGAGUGCCUGGGUGCACUGUGUUGGUGCAGCUGAUCACCUUGCUCCAUGUGCUUAUGAUCUCAUCGCGGCGCUUUGCAAUGCUCAGCGCCUUGAGCUAUUCAGAUUUGACGUACUCCUCCAGGUGAAAAUCUCUAUCUACACUACUAUUUAACUAAUUAUGACACUUUUUAUGGUAACAUUUCGUAUGCAAUCUUUUGUUGAUCUAUUUUUUUUGGUAAAGGAUAUUGUGCAUAAGCCAGCCACUGAAGGCCUGUCGUUAAGCAAUUUGAAGAGCCUCUACGUUGGAGAAUGGCUGGUCACCGACUUCUACAACGCCCUUGCUUUUUUCAUCCAGAGGGUGCUCCUAAUCUGGCUGCUCUUUCCUUGGAUCAAUGGACGGUAACAUGCUGCACAUCUGCCAUAGGCACUUAUUGUCAUUAGUGACAUUAAACUGAAGACAUUACUCUCUGCUUCUUCAGAACUUGUAUCAAAGUUCAAUGGGAUCGGAGCUUACCCAAAUCACUGUCUAGGGAAACGAAACCUAGUGCUGAUGGCAAGCUGAAACUGCUACCUCCAUUGCCCAGAAACCUUGAAACGCUUUGGAUCAGACUGUCCAAAGGCGACGACGUUGAGGAAUUUCGCAAGAUGCGCAGCGCCUUGAAGGAGAAGACAAAACCCAGAGAGAUGGAGGUGGUAUGGUUUUAAACUCGAUCCACGUGGCCAUUUACCCUGCAUACCAUACCAUGGUGCUGCUGUUCAGCUCUUGAAAUGUUUCCAGAUUAGAGUCUCUGACUGUUUGCAAAGUGUACUUUUCUUCAGAGCCUAAAGAAACCAAACUGUUUCUUGUGAUGAAAUAUCUAUAUAUUCCAAAACACACCCUUUCUGCCAUAUGUAGUUAUGGUAUAACUCGAGCUAGCUGGCUUCAGAUCCGAAGGCAAACAAGGUAACCGAACGCGCCCAAGGAGUUAUCACUACCCUCACGUUCGAACCUCUUCCUCGCGUGCUUCUUGAGUUCUUUCUCGCUCCUCGGCAAUGGCCUGCAAAUAAAACCAUGGAGUGGCUGGAGAACAACUGCAUGCAGGAACAAAGCUCUUUUCAUUCACGGGGUGCACCGCUUAAAAUAAGUGUUUUCCUUUAAACGCAAAAAAAAAUAUGAACUCACUAAAAAAGUUGGCUCAACAGAUCUGUAUACUGUAAAAACCUAAGUCGAUAAAAAAAUUGUCGAUCCAAAAUUUCCUGCAAAAAUAGCUGAAUUGACAUAUCUCCCAUAAAAAAGUUAAAUCACAAAAAUGUUGAGACAACAAAUUUGUGAAAAAAGGUGAAGUCAACGAGAAAAUUUAAAUCAAUAUUUCCUAAAAGAAUAUUACGUCAAUAAAUUUGGUAAGCAAUUAAUAUUGAGUCAAUAAUAUUGAGUACAUGGGAAGGAACGUAAAAAAAAAAG
rnacentral:lncRNA from 1 species